UUUUUUUUUUUUUUUUUUGCAUCUUGAAUUUUGUAGUCAGCUUUAACUUAAUUUGCAAAUCUAGAUAACAUCACAAACAAACAAUUCGAGCAUAUUUAUCUAUCAUAGGAGAUUUUUGGAGAGUAAAUGAUGUCUUGAAGUGGGUGAGCUUCCUCAUGUUUUAAUCUUUUUGUACCAAAAAGUAAAAAUUCAAAGAAAAAAAUUGAACAUGCAUCAAAAAAUAUUCCCACAUGUGGCUCAAGUAACUUAUACAAGAACUAGCUCAUGAAACCUUCACCAAAAAUCAUUUUGACUUGGUGUUUGGACAUAUUUCUCCCGUGGCACAUUGGCAUUUGAUCCAAAUUCCACCAAAAAUAUGGUCCCUUUUUAUUAAUCCAUCAUGUUUCUGAGGUUACAAAAUUCAUUAAAAAAAUAUUAAAUAGGGACCGGCAACUUUCGGAUCAAACAGCUAGAUUAAUUACUUAAAGCAAAACCUAGGAAAAAGGACAUCCAAAUAUGAAGGGCAAGGGUAGUAGUCUAGGUGAUGCAUGAUAUUCUCUGCAAGUGCUCUCAUUCUUCCUAUUGACAUAUUUAUACAGGAUUGAACUGCAAGAAAAAAAGCGCUAAUUCAAAAUUGGAUUACAUAAUGGACAUGGAAUAUUAUUUGAAAAUUUAAGAUGCUCAACAAAUCUGGACCCCCAAGUCCUAAUAUCAAUCAAGGCAAAUCAACUCCACCACUGGUGCACUGCUACCCCUUGAUCUCUCAAGCUUCCAUAUAGUGCUAAACAUUGCCAAUAAGUCAUCUUGCUUUUUCUUUGUUCAGCUUCAUCAUCUUGCCACUGGUUCUUGCACUCAAGAAACAACUCAUCCACCAAGCACAUUGUCUUCUCCUUCAUCAGCUCCUCGACUAGUUGUGCUUCCGCCUUCAUCACAACAAAGUCUUCUUCCUUCACAUUAUUCCGCAACCAAUCUGGUAGUCCAGUCACCUGAGAAGCUAUCAUGCUUCUUCUAGAGGAUUUAUCUGAACGGAAAGAUCUUACCUCCAAUGUAUACAUCUCAAAAUGUUGCUUCCUGGUCGGAUAGUUCUUCUUAAACCAUUCCUGAACACCAUUUUUCUCGUCAGAAAUGAAAAUUCUACGUUCAUAUGUUGCAAGAGAAUCUUCUAACAAAUCUGGAAGGAAUCUGAUCUUCCUCAUUCCAUUGUUGGAUUUCAGCAGAGUCCGUCUUGGUGGCUCAAGCAAAGCAUCUUCUAUGCCAUUCAGCGCAGCUUUCCUUUCCUCUUGUAUAAUGCCACAACCUGUUGGCUUUCUUGUGGAAUUAGCUAACACAUUGCUUAAUCCUACUUUCCUCAUUGCCACGAUUGUUUUCUCAAAUGAGCGUAAAUACACAACUCGAUAAUUUGGUUGUUUUUUCAGCAUAGUUGAAGGAUUGCUGCACAAUUGUGUGAUCACAAUGCCUCCUUUCUUGAGAACGCAAUCGACAGCCUUGAUUUUGUUGAAUCUAAAGCUUACGACAAAAUCAAAUGUCUCAUCUUGAAUUAAAUUUUUGUCCUCCAAGUUGCUACUUGAUUGAAUUACCAAAUUGUUGUCAUUGUCUUUUAAGAACUCCAAAUCUUUCGCCAGACCAUCAAUGCCAUAGCCCAGAAUUAGGCCUUUGUGGCCCCUCCUCAAAAGGCCUUCAUCAACCAAAUCAUGAAAAAGGAUGGCCAAACUCUUGAAACUAGCAAGAUUGAAGUCCAUAUCGGAACCAUAAAUAGCAUUUGAAGGACCUACUACAAUAGAACCAAUGUAGGGUAACGUCAGCAAAACAAUCGCCAAAAGCAAUGAUUUUGACAUGAUCUGCAAAACCCUCGAAUCUGAUGCCUUGACGAUCAAAAGGGUACCAACAUUAUUCGAUACCUUCACCUUCAUUCCAUUGUUGGCUCCAUUCCCCUGAGCCGUAUCCAUUUUUAAAAGGGGAAAUGGAAGCUCUUUUUGACUUCUGCAACUUUUCACCAAAAAAAAAAAAGCCUAAAUCUUCCCUGGGGCAAAUUUUUAUUCAGGGGAAAACCCAAGAUUGGGAAACUUCAAGAAAUCGAUGCUUGUUUGUAAGAGAGAAGAUCAAAGCCGAAGGGGACAAGAAAACAGGACUUUAGCGGGAGCAAAAUCUGGCAGCAGUGUGGUUUCCACCCACAAGGGCCACACGAGUGCUUCUUAUUUUACACCAAAGAAGUAUCAACUGUAAAAUUCGUUGCAACCUCCAUGACUCUUUCGUGGGUUCUCUCUCUCUAUUUACCUCUAACUCAAAAAAGAGGGUCACUUCAUUCAAAGGAAAUAUUUCAUCCUUCUUAGAUGAUAUUUUGUAACUGAUCAUCAUCUGAAAAACAGCCAACAUCAACCAUGGAAAGAAAGACAGAAGAAAAAGCAAGAGAAAUGAGCAAAGCAAAUGAGGAGAGGGGUUAAGACUCGUAGGAAUGAGGAUGGGAAGUGUACGAAAAUCUGAAGCAGGUGAAAUGGAAUAAAGAAGAGUUAGGCUUUAAUAUUGAUGGCAUGCAAGAAUAUUAUGUGCGUGUGCAGGCCGUGGGAAUUCGUUGCAUGGUUUUCUUGUUUUGGUACAUUGUGUUGUUUGUGGUUCGCAGGAGUCGAGAUUUAAGGAAAAAAGAAGCUUCAUAGCUGACAUGUAGCAGAAGAGGUGUAACUGAAAUAUGUUGCAAGGAAGGAUUAACCUUUAAAGGAUAUGAAGACAGAGCUGUACAACUUGGUUAUAUCAACAGCUUAUGAGAUCAUUGCAACACGUAAAUGAAUAGCAACUAAAUUUGUAUAAUUGGGAAAAUUACUGGUUGUCCUUCUGCUGCUUUGUGGUCGAACCACAUCAUCCUCCUAUGCUAUAAAAAUAGACACUCUUCUAUCCCACAUCCUGUGCCACGUCCUUUGCAACGGAUCUUCUGUCCCACAUCCUGUGCCACUCUCUGUCCCACUUUUUAUUAUAUUACUAUUUCUUUUUCAUAAACAUCAUGUUUUAAUUCCUUUUUGCUUCCUUAAGAUCCAAUAACUAUUAAUUGAGUAAUACACAAAAUUUAACAAACUCAAAAAAUCAAAAUGCAUAAAAAUUUAAAUUUUUUAUGAAUUUUCUGCUAUAUUUUUAAAUUUUGUAUUAUAUAUUACUUUUUUGAAGCUGUUGUAUUUAUUUUUUACUUAAUUAAUAGUUAUUGGAUCUUAAGGAAGCAAAAAGGAAUUAAAACAUGAUGUUUAUGAAAGAGAAAUAGCAAUAUAAUAAAAAGUGGGACAGAGAAUGACACAGAGUAUGGGACAGAAGAUCCGUUGCGCUCUUUUUUAUUGUUUACUAUGUCUAGUAAACAAUAGCUUCUCAUUUUUUUAGAGAUGAUUCUUCUGGCGUUCCUGCCUUGACUACAUACCGGACUCAAUCAGUUCUUUUACAAAUAAUCUCAAAGAAAUCUCUGACGAUUAAUCAACAAUUCAGAGAGAAUCUUUUCUUCUGAAUGAAUCCCUACUGUUCCAUCCAUGCGAGCGGUGGUGGACGAAGCGGAAGAACUAAGAAAAGGUAGCGAAAGCUUUAGAUGUAAAUCUUUUGGCUGUAACCUAGAAUUAUCUGACACGAUAUAUGGUAAUUCCGUCAUUGAAAACAAAGGCGGAAAUUUUCUUAGUGCUGUAAAAGUAAGGUAGAACAUAAAUUCAAGAAAUAUUGUGCUCAAUAAAUAUGCGUCACUGAAAACAAUAGAUCAGAGAUAUUCUCAUGUAUCCCGCACUAAAUUGAUUCAGAAUGGAGAUUCAUGCUAUGUUAUGUUGUAGAAACAGAAAUUGUAUGCCAUCUCACAGUAUGCAACUCCAAAACUGAUAAAUAAAUGAAACCUGACUAUUUCAGAGAACUAGUAAUCAUCUCACUUUUUCAAAAUCAAGCCACUUCAUUGCUAGAAAUAGCUUAUGUAAAAACAACUUAAACUUUUUGUGAGCAAAUAUCUGAAAAAUAACUUAAAGUUAGUAAUUCAUAAGCAUAUCAAGCAUACCAGGCCGUUUCUGACAACAGUUCAUGACAAUAAGCAAUCUCAUCGGCUAUAAUCUUGGCAUUAAUUUCACUUGUUUUUGGUUUGUUCUCCUUAGUGAUUCUUAGCUGAUUAAAUGAGUUGAUCAAGCCCAAAUCCUUAAAGUGCAAUCCAUGCACAGAGAAAUUUAUCUUGAACCAAUAAAUCCUCUCUAUGUCUGGCCCUUCCGCAAGUUCUGUGUUACUUGGUGGCUCACAAACUGGGAAUGCAAUAGGAGAAGGAUAACUAGAGCAAAGGCCAGCUGAAGAAAUGUCUCCUUCAGACUUGGAAAUGCUAACCAUUGCAUCAAAAUGUUUGGAAGGAUGCAUUUGAUCGGAGGGAAAACUUAGGUAUGUUAAACAUAUGUAUCGGCCCACCUUGAUUUGUUUGCUGAAAUGGGUCUCCAGAUAAGAUUGCUAUCAGCAUUGCAUUCUCAUUCUACACUUAUAGAUGUAUUAUCAAUACCUCCAACCACUUCAGUAAAAUAAAGAAUAAAUGGAAGUCUUCAAGAUUUUUUAUGAUAAACUUGGUGACAAAGCACAAAAGAACUAGUCACAAAUGGGUGGCCACAAUGGGUGGCCACAAAAGAACUAGUAAAUGAACAAGUUCAACUGUCUGAUCCAGAAGCCAAAGAUGAUAAAAACCGGCCAUUUUGAUCGUCUGGAUCUGUGAAAAGGGCAUUGCGAACAAACUUGUAUUGCCCUGUCAAAACAUGCUCUUUAGGGUAGUAUUCUUCUACCUUCUUUAGCAAAUGAGAGAAAGCACACUGCAAUGCUCCAUAGAAGUCCUCUAGCCAGACACAGAUGCAUAGAACACCAUUUAAGCAAGAGAUAUUAGGUGAAGUGGACAAUUAAAUGAAAAAUGUAGUAGUAAAGAGACAUGUACUCUGAUGAUGUAAACAAAAAAAAAAAAAGCAUAUCAAUGAACCAAAAUAAGAAUGAAAAUCUGUUAGGGAGACUCAUUCGACGCAAACUCAAGCAGAGAAACUUGGUCACCAUUUCAUUCAUAUGAAUACCACAAAAAAAGGCUAGAAAACUGUAAACAGUCUACAAAUUUGCUAGUCGACAAAACUGAAUAAAGAAAAUGUCACACUGAACUCAAUAAAUUUGUAAACUCCAUACACAGAACAAACAUAUCCAUGCUAAUGUGCCCAUGAGUGUGGUAACAUGCAUCAUGAUAAAAUCCAGCCAUUGCUCAUGUCUUUGAGUCAUCAAUUGAGACAUGCACAUCGCAUGUAUAAAUUUUAAUACAGUGAUUAAUUGCCAAUAAUGACCAAGACCAAAUGCGCCUAGGUAGCCUGUCUACCAGUCUUCCACCUUACCAACUCUGAAAGCAUUUCAGAUUUUGGCCCAUAGCAAAUUUUAAGGGAACUUGGAAAAGAGCACCGCUUUGGACAUGGCAUUGAGCUAUUUGAGUGAAGAACAUAAUUGGCUGAGCAAAACAGUGAAGCAGCGUAGGAGCACAAAUGCCAAUUCAAGAAAAAUAACUAAAACAUAGGAUGUAUGCUCCAAAACAUAAUAAGAGAAAAUGUGAAUCCAAGUUCUAAAAGCAUUUCAAAAUUCACCAUCUUGUAAGGUCCAAGUGCUAAACUUGUUCAACUGGCCAUUUAUCCUCGAAUACAUUGAUAUUACAGCAAUAUGAUUAAAAUAAUUGUUGCAGCAUGGAGAAGACUUAAAUGUCAAGUGCAUAAUAAUGCAAAGGUAGAUCCAAACUUCACAUUGAAAUGAUCAUCUCAAACAUGUGGAUUUAAAUGAUAGAUGAAUAUCUUGAGCCCCUCAAUUCCCUCAUCCUCAAUAUUCUUGACCGAGUCUUCAGUAGAUUGUCCACACCAGUGUACUUCAAUUGUCUCAAUAUUUCUUAAAAAGUAAUGGGACUUCCUCAAGGUCCCUACAACCUCUAAGUACCAGAUAGUGAAGGUUGGGAAGGUGAUCAUUACUGGCAUUCCAUUGGACUUCCUUUGCUUUUGAAAGGCACAAAUGACGAAGCAAAUCAUGAACAUGGCAUGUAUUGCCCCUUCCAUUAGAUCUCCUUUUUGAAUCAUACUAGGAUGCAAUCAACUAGAUCCAUCAAGAAUCCUCUGCAGCAUCGUCUGAGCACUUCAACUCAGUCAUUUGUACAAAACACUCAGCAACCCAUAACCAUGUCAACUUGCUAAUCAGAAUAUCUGUCUUCCCGAAAUGCACCCAGAUAGAGAAAGCAUGUUCCUAAGUGUGCUGGCAGGUGAUGGUAGCUCAACUGCAAUAUCUCCUUGCACCAAAACACUGGAUUUUCAACAACCAGCGAGCUUAAAUUGUCUGCAACUUCCUUCCACUUGUUCUCUUGCUUUUCUGUUUUUUUGAGGAAACCAGGUAUUGCAAUAAUUGCAAGUGGUAGUCCUUUACAAUUUUCAGCAAUUUUCUUUCCAAAUCCCAACAGUUCAUCAGGACAAUUCCUAUCAGGAAAUGUUCUCAUCUGCCACAGUUUCCAACUUUCUCAUGAGACAGUAUAAGAGAAUGAGGGACAGUAUCAAAUUCAGCUAUUGCAGCCAAGUCAUGGAGACGACUCAUAAUCAAAAUUCUACUUCCAUGUCAAUCGUCUGGUAGUGAACCUUCCAAGUCCAUCAACACAGCAAUAUUCCAGACAUCAUCCAUAAGUUUGGUUCGCCAUAUCGGCUGAUACCGAUACGUAUCGGUCGAGUUGUAACUGGAAUGGAGGGGACCAGUUCAAUACCGAUUCCCAAAUCACGGAUAUUAUCAUAUCCGUGACGACUCACUCUGAGUCGGCCGAUAUUGACCAAUUCGAAUCUGUGAUGCAUGAUAUCGGCCGAUAUAUCCGAGUCAACUCGGAUAUUUUUUCAAAUUGUGCCUUUUUUGAUAUUUUUUCAUUUUAGUAAUUUUUUCAAAAUUUUUGGAAACUUUCAUGUUUUAUAAUAUGCAUAUUACCCGAUAUUCAACCGAUAUGCCGCGAUGGAUGUGGAACAAUCGAGACCGCGACGCGACUGCGACCCCCUAUGGUGAACCAUGUCCAUAACUAUGAGAUAUGCACCACGCUUCAACUGCUGAUAUAGCUGUAAUGCUAAAUCCUCAUCAUCCAUUUGACAAAUAUUAUCACUAGGCACUCUAAUGUUGCUCAAAAUUUUAAGCAACAAUUCCCUCUUUUUAUAUUCUUGGAAGACUGGGCAGCAACCAUGAGCAUGAAAGUGAUUUGCAACUCUAGGAUGAUUGUAUAAAUUCUUAGCGAGAGUUGUCUUUCCCAUCCCUGUCAUGCCAACAAUGGAAACAAUAUCAAGUCGCGAAGAUCCUCAAGUAAGUCAUUUAAUUAUAAACAAUCCUUGAUCAACUUAUAGCCUGCUCGUAUUUGGCAGAUUACGGCUUGAAGCGUUGGCAGCAGUCUGAACUGGUCUACUCCUCACCAAUUUUGGUGGCCUGGAUCUUAACAAGUCUAAUAUCUUCUUCUAGGAGGUAAUAAAAACAUAAGAAAUAUCGCCAAUUAGAAGCUCUCCCAACCUCAAUGCAGUCGAUUGUAUAUUCCACCUUAUAUGCGAUAUCUAUAACAGCUUCACCAUCGUCCUUCAAUUUUGAAUGCUCAGCCACAAGCAAAGAUCUUAAAAGUUCUUAGUUCUAAAAAAAUCUGAUUGAUGUAAUGCGUCAUUGGUGCCACUGACUCAGGUUUACGAUUCAGCAGCUUCUCCAUGUUUCCCAAGAGAAAAGCAUGGAAGCCCAUCAAACCUCUCAGAAAUUUAAUAAUGCACAAAAUGGAAGACAAGUAAUUAUUUACACUUAUAAUUGAUAAACAACCAAAAAAUAUAUGAUCCUGAUACUUAAGGGAAUGAACACUGAUCCUAGUCCUAUGAUCCAUCCAAACGAGACAAUGUGACAUGAGACUCAAGGGAAUGAAUACUGAUAUUAAUCCUACAUUGUACAAUAUAUCCAUCCUUGAAGCUUGAAACUUCAACUAUAGCUAGUGAAAACGUUUAAUUUGGUAUAGCUUUAAGAAAAUGCAAAAGUAUUCAAGCUGCAUUCAUGGAAGACAAUUUCUGGUUUUCAAUUUAAGCUGCACAAGUUUUACCAUUUUCCAACAGCUUGUGCUCUUGCUAAUGGUGCAUCACAUUGGCUUGCAGAGGUAGAUGAUGGUUUCAACUUUCAACUGUAUCAUUGCCUUUGAUAUUUCCAGUGAAGAAUUCGAGAACUUGGCCCACUUAUGGGGAAGGUAAUUUUCAGCAAAAUUGAGCAUCUUAAAUUGUUGCCUUUCUUUACUUUAUUGUUAUAUUUCAAGUGAAAGAUAUCAUGUCAAUUUAUGGAUCAUGGAUGAAUUAAUAUGAAGUGGACAGAACUUGGACUAAGUUAAAAUCUCAUUUGAAAUUCCCGACAUUUGGUGUUGAAGACCGAUCAUAUAUAUGCUCAAACCAAAGCAGGUAACUGCUUUUGCAGAUUGAUGGAACAGAAACGCUUGUGCUCUAUGAUCUUGGAGCCGGAUACUUUAGAGACGUAGCUACUGCAAAUGGUGCAGCUAGUUUCGUUAGAUGUGAGUCUAUUGGUCACUGGCAUGAAAAUGCCUUCUUGCAUGUCUUCAUGCACCAAUUUCGAACUUGUGUAGCACUACAUUUACCUCUUCUGGUUGCCAUUCUCUGUUCUUAACUAAAAGCUCAUUUCUCCAAUUUCUUAUUCAAAUUUAAUUACAAUUGAAGAUGUCCGUUUGUUGUGAGUGCAAUCAUCCUAAUCCAGAACCCUCUAUCAGUUACAAGUUCAAGCUGCAAGCCAUUUCACUUUAUCCAUUUGCCAUCUUGCACAGGGAUUAAAUUCAUGUUGAGUAUGUUCAUACUUUCUGCACUAAUGGCAGAAAAUACAUCAAACAAAUAUGACACAGAUACGUAUAGAUCUGAAAUCAAUAUAUAUAACAGGUCUAAAAAAACAAUACAAAUAACGAUAAAUAUUGAUGCUCCUUUAUAUCUUUCAUCCAGAUGAAUCACUAUAGCCCAAUACAUCAGUGUAUGUCUGAUGACAAUCAGAUCUAAUUAAAACUAGUUCAAGUCCAAAGUAAGUCCAUACCUAAAAUACAUAACUUAGAUGUUGUAAACUCUUGUUUUUUUUGCAAAGAACAUCACAUUCAUUGUCACCAACUCAUUUUUAGAUAACAAACAAACUGAAAAAAGACAAGGAAAGAGGCUAAAACUAACUUGGAGAAAUUAAAGGAAGCAAAAUUGCAUGUUCAAUUAGUGGGAUACAGAAAAGCAAAGGAUGAAGGAAAGCAAAUGCAUAAAUCACUUGUACACAGCCUAAUUUUGCAUAACAGACAGUCUGUAUAUAAACAUGACAUUUGGGAAAUUGUUAACAGUUUUUCCGUAUAAUAUUUUUGUGUGUAUAACACAAGAAUAGCACAUGACAUUUGUGCGUGUAUAAUGUAAUUAAACAUGACAUUUGUGUGUGUAAUUAAAUGAAGAGGUGGUCAAAUUUUUGGCCCACUAAUUUGUCCUUUGGCUCAGAAUUUUUUUUUUUUUUGAAUAUUAACGGUUUUAAUAGUUUUUUUAUUUUGUCAAAUGUCAACUUCUAUAUAUUUAACGGUUUUAAUAGUCAAGUAACCAACUCCUAUAUGUAUGUAGUCAGUUUUUUAUUGCUAGAGAAGUAUAACAGUUGUUGGUUGUUGCUAGCUAGCAUGUAAUUAGCGUCCCAUUGUUUUGUACAUUCACAUGUCACGUUUGCAAGAAGAUAGAGUGCAAUAUAAUUGACAUUUUUGAGCCAAUCAAACAAAAUACCUAUUUCAUAAUAAAUAAAAUUAGAGCACAGUGAUGAAUAGGAUCGUAUUGACAGAGAUUGGGAUGAUUUAUUUCUUCCAAAGCAAUGAAUAGAAAGGGGAGAUUUUGGAGAUUAAACCAACUGAUUAAUUUAAACACAUACAAAAAUUAAGUAAAAUUAAAUUAAUAAUAAUGAAGCUCUAGCCAAAGGAAUAAUUUCCAAAAUGAUUCGUACAAUUUUCAGAUGGCUUUCAUUACAAUUUUCGCAACAAAGCAUAAGAAUUAGACACGAACAAACCACCUUGGCUGUGCCAGUUUAGCAUCAAACUAUAUUUACAGCCCUUGACCAUUUCAGAUCUAUAUCAAAUGGCACAAGACAGAAAUUUUGACAGCAUUGAGCAUCAACUUCUUAUAUAGACAAUGACUAUCAGGCUAUCUUCCAGAUAACUUUCCUUUCCACUGCCCAUUACCGACCCACCCCCCCACAAACAAACAAAAAAAACCGGCAAAAGAUGAGAGAGAGUGAACAAGUAGAUGCUGCACAAACAUCUUUCAUAGCCAGUCCUAGAAGAGCAGAAGUUACGUGGAUAAUGCACAACUAGUACCGGCAACUUAUAAUCAAUGAUGUAGUUCGCCUUCUGAAGUGUUAGAAAACGACUUGUACAACAAACUUAUCAACGCACCAAAGCAGAAUCAUGGUAGAGGCAUCAUGGCAUCAUUAAACGUUAGUUUCACUUUCAGGCAUCAUUUGUCAUAGCCAUUUGCUGAGAGGUAGAGACCACUUUCCUGAGCUCACCCGUCCCAUUCCAACAAGUAUAUAUUAAUGGAUACUUCAUCAAGAUAUUCAUCCAGUUGGUAGUAUUCCUGCUUUUUGCUCAUUUCCAUUUUGCUCUAGCUGCCAGUUGAUCUACGAGCCAGAAGUUGGGAUAUUUUUCUCGUCCAUCUAUUUCAUUGUAUUUUUUUCCCUUCUUGAAAGAUCUUCUCUUCCCACUUUGAUCAGCAACCAACAAAUAUUGGACCUGGAAAAAUUUGAAGUGUUGAUACUGCUUAUUCUUUCAAAAAUGCAACAGAAUCGCUCCUAGGAUAAAUCACAACAGAGGUGCUUAAAUUAAAGUGCAGUGAUUAAAUCAAAAUGCUGCUUACAUGAUUUCAACAGAUGUGCCCAAGCCAAAGAAACUGAUUCUAAAUUAGAAUCAUAUUGAUAGAUUUGAGCCACCUGUUGAAGAUGCAGCUUAUCAACUAAUUGCAAAUGGGACGUCAGAAUGCAUGCUAAGUCGGAUGAAGAACAUAGUAACAGUCUAUAUACUUAAAAUUUUCUGGUACAACAUCCUUUCAUCUAGCUUGAAAUUCCUCCAACCCCAGGAACUUUCAGCAUCUUUUCGGUUAAUCAGUGAGAUGGGAAAACAACAAUCCAUGAAAAAUAUCUUCAAGCAAAUUAUUAUUAAAGAUUAAGUACACAGAAAAUAGUACCUGUUAGAACCAGAUUCUCAUGUUUGCCAAGCUGUCAUUAACUAUAUACACAUAUUCUACCCAACAAGGUUGCAAAAGCAAACAGCAUUCUUUGCAUUAAAAAAAAGGGCAAAUUACAUUUUACCCCCUUGUGGUUUACCCUUUUUUACAUAACCCCCCUAUGGUUUCAAAAGCUAUACAUAACCCCCUCAUGAUUUGGAUUAAAGUGUCAAAGUGACGGAAAUAGUCACUCGUAACGGAACUUCUAAAAAUGUCAAAAUCACCCUUAUAAAUACAUGACACAUUAACCCCGUAUACUUUUUAUAUUUUACCAUAUAACCCCCUUAUGGUUUAGUAUUUUACCAUAUUACCCCCUUAUGAUUUUCAAAAUAUACACAUAACCCCCCUUGGUUAAUAAAUAAUUUUUAACUUUACAUAAGGGUAAUUUUGACAUUUUAGAUGACACCGUUACGAAUAAUAAUUUCCUGGUCAGCUGGUUUUGAGGAUCAUACCAAUCUGUAGCCAGAUUGAAGAGGAUUUUAGAAAUUAGAUAGUUUUGAUUUCAUAAACACAUGACCAUUCAAACCAAAGAAUUGAAAACCUCCAGAAGUUGGUUUGUGAAAUAUGAAUGAUUAUAUCAUUCAACUGAUCCAACAUAUACAAUUAGUCCUAUGGGAGUGGAUCUAACCUCAUGAGUGGAAUUCUUCUCUUCUUUGACUCCUUUUCUGAGUAGAUCUAAUAAUAACGCUCUUUAAGUCCUUGUUUCCCCAUUCUCUCUGUUCUUCCAGAAUUCGCUCCACAGAAUUUACAGCAGACUCACUACACCAUUUCACCUCAAUCGUUUUAAGAGUGAGGCUUUCCCCUAAACAAGGAGGGACCUCUUCCAGCUCCUCACAAAACUCCAAAACCAAUUUCUCAAGACAGGAAAAAUUAUCAGAAGAGGCAGUCCACCUACGAAUGUACAACCCUGACAGUUUCAAAAAUCGGAGGUUACAGAAUUCCCCUUCUUCCAUCUCCCAUUCUUCCUCCCGAACGGAACGAUGGCAUAAUUUGAGCACUACAAGGUUGGGCAGAUUUUUUCCAAUUGCUGAAAUUUUUCCCCACGGCCAAUAAUUAUACGAGAGAGUCAACUUUUUCAAAUUCAAAUUCAAUGAGAAUUCAAACUCAUCUCCGCUAAUCCUGCUUAUCUUAAGUGAUUCUAGUCGACUCAUGUAGUUCAGCACGAGAAUCUCCUUGCGAUUUCCACCAGAUCUGAGUGCUUGGUAACUUUCGUAUGUCAUCCUUUGGAUUCCAUAUGUUAUUGUUAGCCUGCGGGUGCUCUGUAACUUUGAUAGUAUCUUUUGUGCAUUUUGAGAAGAGCGAUGGAUUGCAAGGCUUAAAGUGUCUAAAUGUUUUAAAUCAGGGGAGCCUUCAAGAUUGUCCAUGGGAAAUAUGAAACCACAGUCGGACAAUGAUGUGACAAGAUACCUCAAUGUUUCAAUGCUCCAGAUAGUGUUUGGCAACAGAUAAUUUCCACGGCGUGCUUCUACUACAAAAGUUUCUAACCUUGAGAGGUUGGCUAUUGCAGAUGGGAUAUCCCCAACAAAACGUCCAAUUCUCAAGUACCUCAAGUGAAUAAGGAAUACUACUUCCCUUGGAAAAGAUGAAAUCCAAUAAGGAGUGUUCCAGAAAUCCAGCACUCUAAGAAGUUUAGACAGCAGAAAUUUGGAUGAAUUCUUAUCCAGCUGUGUAUAACUAUCACCACAGAAGAGCAAAGAACGCAAAUUGGGAAAAAACAGCCUUGAUUUUGUAAGCCCCAUAGUCAUGGUAGGGUGAAUAGACAAUCGAUGGGGCUUGCAUGGUCCGGUAAAAGUUAAAAGGUUAUCCACAUGUAAAAUCUGUAGAAAACUUUCUUCUUCAGCUUUCGCCACGCAAAACUCAUGUACCAAAUCAUGGAUUCGGCAAGCUUUGAUCCCACCUAAAGAUCUUUGUUGGGCAGCCAUAACUAAACUUCUCCCAAUCAGAUCCAUCAAAUAUUCAUCUGCCACAUCCUCUAAACUCUUUCCUUCAGUCUUUUGCACGAAUCCUUCCGAGAUCCAAAUCCAUAACAACCUUCGGAUAGGAAUUUCUUGGUCUUCUUGAAAUGCACCGAAGUAAAGAAGGCAUGGCUUCAAAUAAUCCGGUAAAUUAUUGAAACUUAGCUCAAUAGUCUUCAUGCAAUAUUCAUUGUCAACAAAAAUGCUAGAAGUUAAAUGUAUUACAACUUCUUCCCAGCAAUCUUGCUCGGUAGUAGCAAGAAUUCCGGCAACAAGGACAACUGUGAGAGGCAGGCCUUUACAGUAUUUUGCUGCGUCCAGUAAAACAUUACUUAAUAUUGGAGGACAAUCUUCUUUGGAAAAUAGCUUUUUCUGCAGCAAUUCGCAGCUCUCAUUAUCUGUAAGCGGGCGAAGAUGGUGAGGCUCGCUAUCAAGUUUAAUUUGCAAUGGCAAUUCCUGAAAUCUGCUGGUUAAGAGAAUCCUGCUUCCAUUGCAAUCAUCUGGCAGUGAGAGUUUCAAUAAAUCCCACCCCAGAAUGUCCCAAACAUCAUCCAAAACUAUGAGAUACCUAUUUCCCUUCAACAAUUUGCGUAGCCUGUCAGCCAUAUAAUCUUCAUCUUUCCGAAUAUAUCCAGCUGAGUUCCCAUGAUCAAUAUUACACAACAUUUGAACUAACAAACUAUGCUUGGUAUAUGCUCGAGAAAAACAACACCAAGAACGAAUGUGAAAGUGGGACUUUACCAAAGGAUCACCAUAAACUUUAUUGGCUAAUGUUGUCUUACCAAGACCAGGCAUACCCACAAUGGCAACAAUAUCCAACCGGCUUGGUCCCCUUACAAGUCCAUCAAUUAUAAUUUCCCCCUCGUCAUUGAGACCCACCACAGCUUCAUUAGAUAUUGGAGCAGUAACUUGUGAUGGCAUGGGAAUGGUAGUCUUAACAAUACUCUGGGUUUCAUAGUCAAAUCGUAUGCUAUCAUAAAUCUUUUUGGCCUCAAUCUUCAUAAGCUUGACAUCUCCAGCAAUAACAUCCAAACAAUGUUGAUGUUUUCCACCAGGUAGUGUAGAGUCAAUGAUUAUCUCUGCCCUGUAUGCCAGCUCAAUAAUACGACUCCACAGAGCUUGGAGUUUUUCAUUCCGCUUUCACUGCUCUGCAAUCUUGCCUAGGAAAGGUCUUAAGAAAUCAAGAUCUUCACGAACUGUGUGGAUUUGAUUAUUUGGGAAAGCAAUUGAAUUAGCUGUAGAAUUUUCCAGUUCCUUGAGAGUUUCUAAAAGAAAAUCAAUAGAGCCCAGCUCAUUAGUCCUAGGGAAACUAAUUGAUGAUGAUGGUGGUUGUAGUGGACAAAUCUGUUCAAUUUCUGGAAUAAUGAGCUUGAGCAGUUCGAGCGAAUGAGAAGCCACAAGAUCUAUUUCCUUGGGCAAGCUUUCUGUCAUUUCACUCUUAUAAAGGGAGAAAAUCACAAUUCCAGCAUCACAGACCACAAAUCCAAUAAGAUCCUUCAUUUCAUCAUUUAGCUCAUCGAACUUCUCGUGCUGCUGGCUGAGAAGGACACUCAGGAAUCUUGCUCCCUCAUAGAGUUUUAGUAAUUGAUCCUUCACCGGAAGCAAGAAACUGGUGUAAGAUUCUGUUAGCUCCAUAAUAAUAUGUAAAAGAUGAUCAAUAAAUUCGGCCACUAGGUGCUUAUUCUUCUCCAGGGCUAAAGUGUGUGAUGAUGGUGACAACUUGGAAGCUGUCAAGACGUGGAUAUAAGUUUCUCGGACUUGGAGAUCAACGGGAUCAAUCUUCUUUUGUAUCAGUUGAGAAAUUUCAGAUUCCAUCUCAUUGCACACCCGUUCAUCAUUUCUCUGAAACCAAGAUGUAGAGAUCAGGCUUGCAGCAUUAAUGGCCACAACUUCAAUGUGAACUAACAGAUCUACUAAUUGCUGACCCUUAACACCUUGUAGUGUUGCAAAGCAAAUGAAACUCUUCAAGAACAUUAGCUUCUCUUGAAGGGUUCCCAUUACACUUUGCAGAGCUGCAUCAUCCCUGUAAUUUCUGGUGCAAAGACGCCUCAGAUUCUCUAAAAUGGAAUCGAUGAUAUCCAUAACCAGUUGUGAAUCUCCCAGCAAGUAGUAAUGCAAUAAACUAACGAUGUUUAAUUCCUUGAUAUCUGAAUCAAAAAUCAACCGAAUAUUGCCCUCGAAUCUGUCGAGCUGGCAUUUGAAGUCAUCAGGCGAUCUACGUCUACCGAACUGUCAGACUCAGCAUCACCCCUGUCCUCCUUAUCAUAUUCCAAACACAUACACUCUUUGCUUCUCUUCCUCCUAAAAUUUCUAAUAUACAGAUCAAAGGUUUCCAAUAGACUUAUCCCCAUGUUCAGCUCCCAGAUAUGAGAUUUGAACAGACCUUUGUACCUAGAGUCUAAGUAGUCCAGAUGAUUACGAGCAACAUCGAAGCAACUAGUGCUGCUGCUGGAGGAGAUGUUCCUCAUGGUACCUGCUUUUCACUCAGAAAUGAGAUUUCUGCCUAUUGUAGCCAUUGAUAUUCAAGAUCAACAACUUUCUUAUUAUCUAACAAUAUUCACAGUUUGCCAUCAGGACUCUAUCUCUCUGUUUUUUUUUCCCUUUUUUCUUUUUUGCGUGUGGCAGGGUGGUGCUAAAAUAUUGCAAGACUUUACCCUCUUCCUCUUGAGUCUUUGUCAAGGGAAGUUCGCAUCGAUACAACAGGCAUAAGCUGUUGGGGUCCCCAUAUCAAAGAUUAAAGCAUUAGAGACGCAUUCAGCUGAGGCCUGAUGGCUAUGUAAUUUGCCACAACCUUUUUUACCGCAACAAUAUUUUUUACCACAAAACGUGAAAGGCAAAAAAAUAGAUGAAAGAAAAUCAAUCUAUACUACUGUAGUUUCAAUCAAAUGCGAAUAUGGCCAGCACUAAAAAUGAACAAAAUGAGAAAUAUCAAUUAGAUUAGCAGUCAGAUAAACAAUAGAAAAAUCAGAAGAAAAUGAUCCAUGGCUAUUGUUUAAGAAUGUAUAACUAAAUGCAUUUAAGGAUUUAGAGACAAUUGUUUUAAUUGCCAAUGUAUGUGAGUGCUGAUGCUUUAAUGCUUCUUUUUUUUAAUUUGGCAACUUCUCCAAAUUUAAAAAGUUGUAUAAUAAGAAUAACAAUUUUACUCCUUUUCCUGUGUGAGAUAACUUGAGCCUGUAAACCAUCUAAAUCAUUUUUUCUUUUUUUGGUUUUCUACAUGCACCGAGAAAUAAUAAUAACCUACAAGUACGAAAAAUCUUGUGAAGUGAAGACAAAUAUUAAUAGGGCAAAUUAUACUUUACCCUCCUGUAAUUUAGUUUUUUUUUACAUAACCCUCCUAUGGUUUAAAAAGUUAUAUAUAACCCUCUCAUAAUUUGAAUUAAAGUGUCAAAGUGACGGAAAUGAUCAUUGUAAUGGAAUCACAUAAAAUAUCAAAAAUACCCUUAUGUAAAGUUAAAAAUUAUUUAUUAACCAAGGGGGUUAUGUGUAUAUUUUAAAAAUCAUAAGAUUGUUAUACGGUAAAAUAUUAAAUAAUAAAGGGAUUAUAUGGUAAAACAUAAAAACUAUAUGGGGUUAGUGUGUCAUGUAUUUAUAAGGUAAUUUCGAUAUUUUUAAAAGUUACGAAUGACUAUUUCGGUUAUUUUGACAUUUUAAUUCAAAUCAUGACAGCGUUAUGUAUAGUUUUUAAAUCAUAGAGGGGUUAUGUAGAAAAACACUAAAUCACGUGAGGGUAAAGUAUAAUUGGCCCAUAUUAAUAUCAUAGUUACUCAUCAUAUCAUAUCACAUGAAAUUCAGUCACAUAAUUGCUUCACCUAAAAUCGAUAGGUCACGGGUUCAAAUCAUCAUGGGAUUAAGUGAGACACCACUAUUAAAUCCUCUUUUAAAAAAAAAAAAAAACUUCAGUACUUUUAGCACUGUAUGUAUUCAAAUCAAAAUUUAAUUUAUCUAAUGCUGAGUCAAAUAAAAAAGCUGAAAUUUCCUCCUAUUACGUCCCAGGCAUAAGUGAAGCGAUGAUAUGCGAGUAUGAAGUGUCAAGAACACAUGGAAGCCGUGUACAUUUCAACCACAAAAUAAUGUGUGGAAAAAAGAAAAGAAAAAGAAAUUCAGCACUUACUUUGGAGAGAAUGAACGCUAUGGCAACAAGUGAUCUGUUGAAUCUGCAGAAAUUUCAUUUAUAUGGUGAAGCCACGUUUAAAAAGAAAAACUUUAAACUUAAAAAAAAAAAAACGAAAUUCAGCACUCACUUGAGAGAAAAUGAAAUCCCUGGCAAUAGCUGGUGAUCUAGUGAAUAUGCAAAAAAAUUCCCAGUAUAUCUUGCACCUACUCACUCAAAAUUAAGUUCAAGAAAAAGAAGAACACUCCGAGGAAGAUGAAUGAUUUCAACCAAAAUGAAAGAACUCGAACAUGCAAGACUUUUUGCAGUGAGCUGGUCCAAAGUCAAUGUAACGGACAUAGUAGUCCUAGUAGCGGUAGGUUAGGACCUAUGUUUUCAGAACCGGACCAGAUAGUGACUCGGCCGAGGUCAGGGGUCAGGGGUCAAUGAGUUCGACCGGGGGUCGAUAGGGGUCGAAUCGGAUGACAUCAUAAAUAAAAAUUAUUUAAAAAUUAAAAUAUUAUAUAUAUAAUAUCUAAUAAUAUAUUGAUAUUAAUAAAGGUAUAUUCAUAUAUAUUUGAUGUUUCAAAUAUAUUUAACAAGAAAAUACAAAGAAAUUAGAACAAUCAAGUAGCAAUUUAUAUUAUUUAAUAAAUAUUUACAAGUUUAGAAUUCAAAUUAUGAAUUUAAUUGAAUAAUAACAUCAAAUUUUAGGACAAUAUUUAUAAAGUAUUAAAUAUUUGAGGUAUAUCAACAAGUUUUAACAAUUUAGGGGGUCAAAACAUAAUAUUAAAAAGUUUGAAUUUUUUUUUUUAAAAAUUACUGUUGAACCGGAAAAAUCGAUUUUUUUCAGGUCAAACCCGAUUUUUGACCGGUUUUGACCGGAUUUUAAAUUUUCGAUUUUUUAAUAUGACUCGGACCGGCUAUCUGACCGGUUUUCGGUUCGACCGACCGAUCCGGUCCGAGUUUGAAAACAGAGGUUAGGACUCACUAUUUUUAUUAUAAGGAACUCUCUUUGAUUUUUGAGUGUGUGGUGGGGAGGGAUGGUGGGCGUGAAACCUUAUCCUGACAAGAUGCUGUGUUAAUCAAGAAUUUGGCAAGUGCGGUAGAAGACUUUGACGUGUGUGGUAGAAUACCGUGUUUGCUAUAAAAUUUUCCUUUGCAUACUUUAUGUAAUUAUUGGUCACUCUAAGGUGGAACAUGCAUGCUAUAUCAGCGGGCUCAGAUUUCACGAGAACUGUCGACGGAUAUUGAGUUAAUCAAUCUCAGAAAUUAGUAUAUUUGGUGUAAGUUCGUAGAGUUUUGAUAUAAUUUUAAAUUUUAUACAAAUUUAGUUAUAUGACGUGAUAAAUUUAAAUUUACAGCCGAUUUGGACGAUUUUACACCAAAAGAGGAAAGAACUAGACCAAUCGGUUGGAUUGGACAAAUUCCAGCUUAUGAGACCUGUGAUAUAUAUAUAUAUAUAUAUAUAUAUAUAUAUAUAUAUAUAUAUAUUUAUAUGAAGUAUGGUUUGGCUAAUUGUUACCUGUUGAAUAUUUGAAAGAGUGCUUAAAUGCAAAACAUAUAAUAAUUGGGAUUGUGUAACGAAUAUCCAUGCCGAUUGGAAAAACAAAACCAUAUAACUAUAAAUAUAAAUAAAUAAAUAAAUGAUUGACUAUAUAUAUAUAUAUAUAUGUUUGUAUGUAUGUUUGUAGUAAUAUGUUUGGAAAAAAAUCCGAAUUCAAAUUUAUGCAACUUUCGUAUGAUCUAACAACUAUAACACAUUGCCAUCAAGAUUCUCUUCUUUUGCGUACACGCUACCUACAAGGAUCUCUUUUUUGCUUGUGUGGUGGAGAGGGAUGGUGGGGCAUGGUACGCAUAAAUAUCGCAAGAAUUUUCCUUCUUCCACAUGAAAUUUUUUGUGUAUGUGGUGGGGAGGGAAGAUGGUGGGGCGUGGUACUAAUAAAUAUUAUAAGACUUUUCCUUCUUCCACUCGAAACUUUAUCAAGAGAAGCUGUGUUAAUCAAGGCUUACAUGCGUGGUUGAUGCGGUAGCAAAAGCAUAAAAGUAGAAGGGGUUUCAUGAACACCUUUCAAAUGACAAUCAUUACACGAAUGAAACCCAGCAAUAAAUCAAAGAUUCAUAAAAAUAAGAGAAAUUUCUCAAUAAUUUGAUAAAACCAACAAUAUUUGAAUUACUAGAAGGAAAUUCUUUUUACAAAAGCCCUAAAGAAAAUAAUAUGUAAACUUUUAAACAAAUCAACUACGUAUCUGGAUGCAUUUAGGAUCCUCAUUGACACAUUUAGUACUAAUACUAAUAUUAUUAAUUAAAAAUAAAUAAAAAUAUAGAAAUCUACCCUAAUUAGAAUUCUAAAUAAAGUAUUAACAAUAUAGAUGAAGAAUUCCUGAACCCAGGGACCCUCUAAAUAUAUUGGCAGUAUAGAUGAGGAAUUUCUGAAACCAAGGUCCUCGUUGUGUAUCAGUGGUAGAAGACUUCUGUGUGAGUAAGCAGACUAUUUUUGCUCCUAAAAUUUUUCCUUUGCAUACUUCUUGUAGUAUUACUGGUCACUAUAAGAUGGAACAAGCAUACUAUAUUUUUCCUCUGUAUACUUCAGUAGGCUUAGAUUUGUUUUCCUCCUAAAAUUUUUCCUUUGCAUACUUCAUGUAAUAUUACUGGUCACUCUAAGAUGGAACCAGCAUUCUAUAUCAGUAGGCUUAGAUUUGUUUUUCUCAUAAUGACUCUUAGAAGGAUAAUCAUAUGUUGCCGCAAUUUCGCAAAAACUGUUGACUGGCUACAUGAGUAUAUGAUGCAUAUUGAGUUAAUCAAUCUCAGAAAUUUUGAUGUACAAAUGACUAGAAAUUAAAGAUGCAUUCAGCUAAGGGACACUUUCUAAGACCCAUGGCUGCCAUUACACAAGUACAAAUAGGGAUCUUUUUGAAAUAUAGCAUAGGUGAACAGAAAGUUCCAUGAAUUGGGAAUGCAUACGAAAAAAUGAAGAAAUCAUAGAUGAUAACUCAUUUUCUCAUUUCGAGUACUUGACUCUUGAAUUGAGACCAUUCCGCUAUUAAUCUAUGUUCUUGGCAGGCAUUGUUUUACAGUGGUAGCACCUGGGACAAGGAGCAUCACAUCACAUAAAAAAAAAUAAUGAACAUUGUAUCAUUGGUACAAAAUAUUUUUCAAGAAUUACUGUCGCGCCCCAUUUUUCGCGAUGGAAAAGAAAGUGUUUAUAAAAAGAUAUGAUUUAUUAAUAAUAAAUGAAAAAGGAUCUAGAAUGGAACUUAAAAAAAAUGCGAUAAUUUGGGUCCAAAAUUUAGUCUAAAAGGGUUUUGAAGAAAAAUUAGAAGUCUCCACUUGGUAUCGAGUUUGGGUGUAUCAAGUCACCCAAAAAGUGUUUUUAAAUAAAAUAAAAUAAAACCCUUUUCGACAACUCCAGGUCUUUGAAAACAGAGAAAAUGAGUUCGGGAGUCACGGUUGAAGAAAGGGAAGGCAAAGGUUCAAUUAUCUCAAACCUAAGGCACCCUUUCAACCUAGUCUAAGCUAGUUGCAUGGUUUAGUCAAAAUUUUCUUAAUCUAACCCUUAAAUUUAUCACAUUUGGAUGUUUUCUACAUGGAUGCAAAUCUAAAUUUAUAAAAUAUCGAAAGGGACAAAAUAUCCAUUCAAGGAUUUAAUUGAAACAAUCGCAUUAAUUGCGAAGGCCAAAAUACUUCUUUGAAAGGGUCACGAGUAUGCAAAUGAUGAAAAAAAGAAAAGUAAAGAAAAGAAAUUAAAUUAUAUACAUAGAUAUAAGUAAUCAAAGAAAAAAGGGAAUGCAACAUAAAGGGUAUGGGAGGCAAAAACUUGUGACAUAAUUUUCUUAUACAGGGAUUAAUGGAGUAUUUAAACUAAAAAAUUAUAAUCAUCCAUUUUCCAUGUUUGAAAAAUAAUUCCCCUAAUAUGACCAAGCAAAUGAACCUACUUAUCAUACAAUUUCUUAAAUGAAAUGCAAUUCUAAGUGAUAUGAUUAACACAUAUUGAGAAUAGGGGAUAAUAUAAUAGGGAAUAUCAUGCAAAUGAGAAAAGAUUCUAAAAAUGAAAAUAUGCCUGAAAAUGUAGUGAAUAGCACACAAAGAUGAAUCUAGCGCAAGACGACCUAAAAGGUCUAGUGUUGGACUAGCCAAUUUCUAGAAAUCCUUACUAACGUUGGACUAGCAAGUAAGCGGAGGGAGAAGCCACAACUAGCGUUGGACUAGUGUGGUGACGUCAUGCAUUAACAAUUCAUAGUGAAACAAAUAAAGCAUAAAUGAAAACAAAUAAACACAUAAGAGCACGUAGCACAUAACACGUAAACAUAAUAUCUAGAUGCCAAAAUCCUAAGAAAAGCGGAUAAAACACAUAACAUAUAAACCACAUAAACACGCAACCUAUCUAUUACAUCGGAGAAUCUAACUACAAUCUAAAAUGGAAAAGAUAUGAUAAAAUAAAAUUAGCUAUCCUAUCUAUUACAUUUUUGAGAUAUUUAAAUGCCUCUCGAAUAAUUAUAAAAAUUAACUAAACAAAUAUAGUAUAAGAAAAUUUAAAUGAACAUUUAAAUCCAAUAAAUAAAACAUAUAAAAAUACAUAAACACAUAGGAACACAUAAGAGCACGUAAUUGACAUUGAAAUAAUAAAAAUAGGGGUACCUCCCAUUUGAAGUGGUGACUAAAUGGAGUCAAAUUGUCCUAUUUAUACUCACAAUGAACAAAAGAAUCAUGACACCAAUUUAAUUGAAAAAAGUAAUAAUAAUAAUAAAAAUUCACCUUAAUAUGUCAAACGUAAAUAAAUUUAAGAAUAUCUAAAAAUUACAGGUUAAACAUACUCAAAAAUAGCAUAAUUAGCUAUUAAAGAAGAGAAGCAAUCAUAAUAAAGAGAGUCAAAAUUCAUCAGAGACUGAAUUGCAAAAAUUGAAAAACUUUUAGGGACAAAAAUUAUAUUUUUCCAAAGUUCAGAGGUCAAAAUUAAUUAAAAGAUAAAGUUCAAGGACCAAAGUGAAAUUAAUUUAAGGACCUAGGUGAAAGAAAUUUAAAAUGUUCUGGGCUACAGUAAAACUACUGCAAAGAUCAGGGGCCAAAGUGCAAAUCGUAACCAGAUCUUCUUAAAAAAACAGGCCACUGGGCCAUUCUCUAUUUUUUCCGGGCCAAAGGCCAUUCGGCCCAAACGAAAGUUCAAGCUAAAAUACCCAGGCCAGCCCGUUUUGUUAUAGCUCAAGCCCGACGAAAAAAAUACAUGGGCUCCAACCUCCUAGCCCAACCGAAACCCAAAAGAAAUAAACACAUAUCCAUUCCCAAAAUCCAACCAAAAAAUAACUCUUGGCCCAUCAGAGAAAUAAACAUUAGCCCAAUUCUUUUUUUUUCCUUUUUCCUUCCUUUUUUCUUUCUUCUUCUUUCUUCCCGCCGUUUCCUUCUUUCUGCUUCUGCUUUCUCCUUCUUCUCCACCGAGGAGCUGAAGCUCCCUUCUGGCUGGCGGCUAUGGCGGUCGCCGGCAGCACCACCGCCGGUCGCCAAAAUUUCUCAAAAUACACCUCUCACUCGAUUUUUCGCGUAGAUUCCAUUUCCGGGCUUAGUUUUAACAAAAAUUGACCCUAAAGUGGCCAAAAAGCCAAGAAAUCAGUUCAGUUUUUAUUUUCUUAAAACCUUUAAACCUCCACCAAAAAUCAUAAAAAAUUAUGCCAAAACCCUCCUUAUAACUUCUACAUUACAACUAUAAUCUUAGUUUGACAGGUAAACAACAACAAAAUGAUGCAUUAAGUCAAAACAGCCCCAAAAAUAAAGAAAAUAUUUCAAUGCCUUUAAAGCUCAAAAUUCCAAAAAAUUUAGAUAAGCAAACAUUUCUAGGCCUGGUGCUAGCUAACGAUCAUCCGUUUUGACAACAACAUGCACAAUAUUCAGCUUUUAAAUCCAUUUUUCCAUUUCGGCAUUUUAUCAAGCAUUUGGCAUGCAUUCACAGCACCGUUUCUUUUUUCUUAAUUUUAUACAGGCUUGUCCCAAAAACUUCAAAAACACCACAAUAGCAACAAAAAUCAGUGAAAGGAAGAGAAAAAUAGGUAGCCAAACAUGCAUUUAAUCUAAUUAAUUUAAAAAGGAAAAGCUGGAAAAAAUACCUCAAUGAGGUUGUGGUCCCUUGACUAAAAUUUUGAGGAAGUUCCAAGCUCUUUGUCCAACCGGCGGCUGCCUCCUUGUGUCUGAAUAGUGUGUGGGUGUGUUGUGUGAAGUGAGCAAAGAGAGGGAUAUGGCCGAGAGAGUGAGGGAGCUUUCUUUCUUUUUCUGUUCUGUUUUCUUUCUUCUGCCCAGUCCGAGAGAGGGAGAGAGUUGGGGAGUGCUUUUUGUUUCUUUUUUUGUGGCUUGUCUUCUGUGAGAGGGAGAGCCGAGUGAAGAGUGAAUUCAGGGAAAAAGGUGGGGAGUUGGUAUUUUUCUUGUCCAAGGGAUGGUCUCCCUGUCAGAGCCGAAAGAGUACAUAUUUUUGAGCCCCAAAGUGUCAUUUUUUUUUUCUUGUCAGUCCCACCCUCGAGAGAGUGAAUUAAGGGAGUGUGUUUUGUAUGUUACUUUUCUUUUCUUCUUUUUUUUUUCUUUUCUAAACAAACCUGCAAAAAAAAAUAAGAAAAAUGCACGUUAAAAUGUAAGAAAAUAAAUAAAUUAUUAAAUAGAAAAAUCUUGAGAAAAUAUUAAAAAUUGACAAAAAUUUGGUGUCUACAAUUACAUUUGGAUAAAUUUCAUUUUGACCCCCUAAACUAUUUGCAGUUUCCCAUUUCAAUCCCUAAACUUCAAAAUGGGACACUUAAGUCCCCAAACUACUGAAUCCGUCCCAAUUAAUUAAAAAUAUUGAUAGAAUCCACAAAACCAUCAGGGUUUUUGCGUCAUGUAAAACAUGUGCUAUUGACCAAGGGCAAGGAUGGAAAUUCAAAUAAAAUAUAUUAAAAAAGAAAAGGGAAUUUAUUUUUAGCACAAAGGAGGGAAAGUUUCCCUCCUUUUAUCCAGCACAUUCGGGUCAUAUAAUCGACCCGAUCCAAUUCACAAAAGGGAAGCGAUGUUUCCUAAGAAAAUAGAGACCAAUUGGCUGAAUUUUCAAAUAAGAGGUAAAAACUAAGAAGAAAAGAGCAUAUGAAGAUAAGAAAGGAGACAAAGGAAAGAUCGCAUGUUAAAUUUAUCAUAAUUAAAUUUUUUGUAUGUUAGAAAGACACUCUGCUUACUUUGCUUUAAGAUGUGAAAGAAUCGCUAUCCUUACGAUGAAUUUGCUCCAACAAUAAAGGCAACCUUCUAUAGGAUAUAAUAAAACUGUUCUCUUGAUUUCUCAAAAUAAAGUGUAAAAAUCGUACAUCAAUUUUGAUUGAAUUCUCGUUAUAGAUGUUAAAAGAGGGUGUUUUAAGAGUUGUUACUGUGUUUUAUAUAGCGGAUAAUUAUAGUUACAACUACUGGAGUUGGAAUGGCCAAACAUUUGAGUCCAAACGGGCAUAGUGCCUAGAGAGCUAUCAGUAAAUCUUGACACAGUUCGGACUUCAAAACAUUUAGUUUGGCCCACGAACAUCCACUUUGACAGAUUUGCAUAGUUUUUGCAAACUACUCAAUGAUUCCCCACUAAUUUGCAAAACUUAUGUAUCUUAACCCAUGGAGUCUUCAAUAAUACAACUUUAACUGAUGAAUCUUAAGCAUAAUUAGAAGUAUCUCUUGAUUUAAACUUCCAACUGGUGUAGGUGAUUUAAAUUUUUAAUGGAGUUGUUAGAGUUCUUAAAUUGAACUAUAACUCUUAUAUGUCAAAGAUGAAAACACAACACAAUUAAUGAUUGUCUUCUUUUCUCAAGAGGUUAAUAUGAACUUUAAUUAGAGCUAUUUUAGCCACAUGCUAAUCCUAGUUUCACAAUCAUCUACAAAAGUAUACUCAAACUCUUGUUGAAAUGGCAUCACUUCAAUACUUAUACAGGUAAAUUUGUACUUGUAGAGUUCUAUGUUUAUGUCAUGCAAAAACAACAGCAAUCCCACUCAUGGGAGUGCUGUAAAGUAAAUAUUAUUGACUAGGAACGUAUGUUAAGCAAAUUUCUUUAUGAUUUACAAAGUCGAAGCUAUCGAACCAGUGAGACUGUUUCUACCCAAGUCCAAAUGAGACAGAUAUUCGAAAGAAAACAAUGACCUUGCAAUACUUCCAAUGAAUUUAUUGCUCUUCAAACCGAUGUAUGUUAUGUGUGCGCAAUUCAUCUAACAAUCAGGAAUUUCUCCUGAUAAAGAAUUCUUUUAAGAUCUAGAAUUGCAAGACCUGAUUUUCCAUUCUUCAUUUCACACAAAAAGUGAGAAAUACCUUCCGAAAACAAAUAGAUCGAAAGGUCUAAUUGUUUUAGAGAAUGAGAAAUUGAUUGUGCUAGUGGACCAUUGAAUCUGUUUGACUACAAUAUAUAUAUAAUCUUUCAACAAUUUCAGAGAUGUUUGAACUCUUACCAUGAAGUCGAUUAUGAGAAAGAGACACGACUUCUGCUGCUGAGUUGAAUAACCAACGAGGAUAGUAUUUGAAAUUCCUGUGGAAGAUAAAUUCAAAUACCGAAGGGUUUUUUGGUAUUGGAGCCAUAUAGGAAAUUGAAGACCGAGAUUCCAACAACCUAAUCCAAGUCUUUCAAAUGUGCUAAAAGAGAAGUUGGCAUUAAAUGGCAUGGUGGUUUUCAUCCUCCACUUUCUAAGCACUGUUACCGGUCAGAUUUUGUGGCCUUCAAUGCCAACAAUGUUUCUUAUCGUCCUAACACUACUAGCUUCGCUUAUCGAUAUUUCCAGUGAAGAAAUCGAGAAGUUGCCCCACUAAUGGGGAAGGUAUUUUUUUCAGCAAAAUUGAGCAUCUUAAAUUGUUGCCUUUCUUUAUUCUAUUGUUAUAUUUCAAGUGAAAGAUAUCAUGUCAAUUUAUGGAACAUGGAUGAAUUAAUAUGAAGUGGACAGAACUUGGACCAAGUUAAAAUCUCAUUUGAAAUUCCCGACAUUUGGUGUUGAACACCGAUCAUAUAUAUGCUCAAACCAAAGCAGGCCACUGCAAAUGGUGCAGCUAGUUUCGUUAGAAGCCUGAUUAGGCCCUGUCGGGGCGGUGGAACAUAUUAGACUAGCAGAUGUCAGUCUAUUGAUCAUUGGCAUGAAAAUGCCUUCUUGGAUGUCUUCAUGUACCAAUUUCGAACUUGUGUAGCACUAGUUUUACCUCUUCUAGUUGCCAAUUCUCUAUUCUUAACUAAAAGCUCAUUUCUCCAAUUUCUUAUUCAAACUUAAUUACAAUUGAAGGUGUCCACUUGUUGUGAGUGCAAUUAUCCCAAUCCAGAAUCCCCUAUCAAGAAGAGGUGGUCAAAUUUUUGGUCCAUUAAUUUGCCGUUGGACUUGAAAAUUUUUUCUUUUGAAUAUCAACGGUUUCAAUAGUUAUGUAACCAAAACUUUAGAAUAAUAGUUGUUGAGUUGCCUUCUAAAUUAUGUAACCCUAAUUUCGUUACCAUAAGUAUAGGCACUAUAGCAUUGUCCUUCUAACUAUAGCAUUGUCCUUCUAAAGUUUUGUCCUGUAUACAUGAAUGUUGUCAGUUAUUUGCUAGCUAGUAUGUAAUUAGCUUCCCAUUGUUUUGUAACAUCCACAUGUCACGUUUGCAAGAAGAUAGAGUCCAAUAUAUUUGACGUUUUGACAGUCAGCCAAUCAAAAUAAAAUACCUAUUUCACAAUAAUAAAAUUAGAGCUCAGUGGUGAACAUAUCGUACCAACAAGGAUUAGAAUGAUUUAUUUCUUUCAAAACAAUUAAUAGAAAGGGGGGAUUUUGGAGAUUAAACCAACUAAUUAUUUAAACACAAAAUAAACAUACAAAAACUAAGUAAAAUUAAAUUAAUAAUAAUGGAGCUCUAGCAAAAGUAUUAACUUCCGAAAUGCUUUUCUUGACUAUCUUGAUAGUCAAAGUACGACCAUUCACUACUUUCCUAAUUGAAAAGAUAAUCAUAGGUAUGAUCGAACAUAGGAUUUAAUCUUACAGUUGCAUUAGAAAUAAAAAAGCUCAAUUCUAAUCAACAAACACGCUAUGGAGGUUUAUUUAAUUUUCAUUAUAUGUCUCCCUAACACAAACUCAAUCAUGCCAUUUACCACAAAUAUUGACCAAUAGUUUGUUAAGCUCCUUUGUUUUCCUUCAAUCUUCUGUACAGCAUUAGGUACAUUAAAUUAAGAAUCUAGUAGGAAAGUAAAAAGAAAGAAAUAGUCAGACAUUCAUACUUGAAAUUCACAAGCACAAAGUUUCCAGUAGAGAAAGAUACUGAAACUGCUAAGAUAGGAUAGGAUAGGUCCUACGUCAAUUAAAAUGUCAGAUGUUCUUUCUUGGAGAACCUGCCAAAAGUAAUCAACAGGUGUGUGUAUGCCCUUCCUCAGAUUUGCGAGGCAAUAGAACAAAAGAAAAGCAAAACAAUAGAACAAAAAUAAAAUGUUCGAUAUAACCUUAUAUUGGGAAAAAUUGCAAAAGUAUUUGGUAAUCACAAAGCUAACAGUAAAUUGGACGAUGUUCACCUAGGUUUCAUCAGCAGCAGACACAAGGAAUCCUUUAGAUGCUUCCAAAUGUCUUCAAGUCUAAGUGCGUAAUUCUUUGAAAGAACAGAAAAUACAUAUGUAGACUUCACAAAUGGAGUUCAUAUGCUGAGCAUCUGCAAUGAAUUGAAUGCUCCACUAAGGGCUAAUCUAAACUCAAAGGACAAGCUGAAUGCAUUACUUUCAUCGAUCUGAGCAAUAAAAAUUAAACAUUAGACAUGUACAAACUUUUUGGGAGUGCUAGUUUAGCAGAUGGUCAAGAAAACAAAACACGUAUUGCUGGCUUUUUCAGACAGGAAAAAACUGCAGACGUCUCCAUAACCAGGACAUUUGAAAAACAGAAUUCUAGUGUCACCUGCGGGAGGGGGGUAGCGAUUCUAGAAGAGCAGAAGCUACAUGAUGACGCACUACCAGCUACCAGCAACUUUCUGAGGUGUAAGCAGAGGACUUGUUAAUGCUCAUCUGUUCUGUCUUUCCUGCUUUCUGCUUGUUGACAUUUUCCACUAGCUGGCAGCUAAUCUACUAACCCGAAGUUAAGAAGUUCUUCUCUUCGUCUUUAAUUAGCAACAAAGACAUAUGGGACCUGGAUACGUUUGAAGUAUUAUAAGAGCUAAUCAACAAGUACAGAACUGUUUCCAGGAUGAUUUCACUAUGGCUCCUUAAAUAACGGCACAGAAAUUAUAUGGAACUUUUCAACAUAUAUCAACCUAUAUAGUAAAAGCGCGAAUGGAUCUGUUAAGAAUGGUGGUUUUGUGCUGACGUGGCUGUGUUUUAUUGGUUGGAGGAUGGUUGUCACUCAUGCGUUUCUCACGUGCCAAAAUUUUGUUUUAGGGCUUCCCUUGUUUUCUUUCCCCUCAUUGAUCUCCAUCGCCCCCAACCAAGAAGGAAGUUGAGGAGCCGCAUAUGGCAAUGGCAGAGCUUGAAGCAACUCAUGCAACUCUCAUCUUGAAUCCCCGUUCCCAAAAGCCAAUGACAAAUCAGCAGCUUAUUCACCGCCAAGGGCUUCCAAAGAGGACGAUUCACCGCGAAGAAAACAAUCUCCCUAGCUGGAUCAGAGUCACUCAAUCUCUUCUUCUUUGCUCGCUCUGUUCUCUGAUUCUUGUCGAAGACGACUUAAGUCUUCCGUCUGUGCCUCUAUUUUGUAUAUGAUCUGUCUGAUUCGUAAGAUUCUCCUACCAAGUUUUUUUUUUAUCCGGUAAACAAACCCAAUCUUGGCGAAGCCGGAAACAAACUAAAAACAAAUGCUCACCAGAGCUCCUCUCCUCUCCCCUUCCAUUUUUCUUUUCAUUUCUUUGUUCCUUUCUUCCUUUUUGUUGUUUUUUAUUUGGUCCUUUUUUCUCUGUUUUUCCUUCCCGUUUCCCCCCUCCCCCCUUUUCCCUUUCUUCUCUUUCCUUUUUUCAAUUAUAUGAUUCUAACUGAUUUUUUUCCCUUGUUAGAAUUGGUCUGGAUAUGAAGCUACUAAACGCAUGAGACGCAGAAAUCAUCUUAAUUGGUAAGCUCCAAUAUUUCCCUAAAGUUUUACAGUUUCCUUUAUUUAAAAAAGAAAGACAUUUUCCCUGCUAAGAUUUGUUAAUCUUUCGAUUAGUAACAGGGGGAUGAUAAUGUUCUGGAUGGUUUAGCAAGUCAAAAAAGUUUGAUUUUUUUCAUACCCUUUUCUAAAUAAUCAAGAACAUUAUAAUUGUACUUUUUUGGAUUGAAAUAUCAUAUAUUUCAUAGCAUUUUGCCGAAGGAUUAAUAGGGAAUGCCUUUGGAAAUAUGCUUUCAACAAUCAAUCAUAUGCAUGUAGAAAAAUUACUCCACUUCUUUUGUUUGGUUUGAAAAAUGAAGUAGUGUAUUUUUUGGCUAAUACAGGAAGUUUUCUGAAGCAAGACUUAUCACUCGAGAUAUCACAAGUGAAUAGGUGAGAAAGUUGAAGUUUUGAUGUUAGAAAUCACAUCGGGAAUGGUGAUACAAUUGACCAUAAACCAUUUAUGAAAAUUUGUUUUUUUGCUUCCACUGGACUGGAAUGCACUUACUUUUAUACUUUUUUUCCUUCAUUCUCCCAAUUUUUUUGUCUCCUAUGUUUCGGAAUUUUUUGUCUAAAUGUUUUCUUUUAAGCAGAAAAAGUAGAAAUAGACUUUUGUGUGUGCAUAUAGGGAUUUAAAAAGUAAAUACACUUUUAGAGUUAAAUAAAAAAUGAAUGGUGUUUGUUAAAUUGGUUGGUGCAGAAUAUGAUGAAAUUGGGGGGGGGGGGGCAUUGCAAGAGUUAAUUCAGUUUGAAGGCAUUCUCCAGUUAUGAUUCUGAUACUUGUGUAUUUGCCAUACUGCCUAUCUUUACUGCCUUGAAAUUUAGCGGGGUUCUAUCUAUCUCUAUUGAUAGCAGUUACUGUUUCUCAACAGUUGAAAUGUCUUACAUUUAGCGGUUAGAGCAGCUGAUGUUCUAUGCUCAAAUUUUCCAGCUCUUGUUUAGUUGUUGCUUGGGAUUUUCAAAAAAACUUAAAUUGUCAAUUUUCUUGGUUUCUUUUUCAUGUCUCUGCCAUUGUCAAUUUGCAAUGGAAUUGAACUUAUUUCAUCUUUUGAUGACUUUAGUUUGAAGUUUUUAAUUAUAGUUUUGAAUAAGUUUCAACUAAUUGUGGGAAAGAAAGUUAAAGUGGCAAAAUUUGUUAGAUUGGUUGGUAGAUGAACACUUUGGCCACAAAUGUUGUUAUGAAAGGUGUAUGUUUACCAAAAACCUAUUACUUAGAAGAAAAAUAUCCCUAGAUCUCUUUUCCUUCUUUGACCAUAUAGUUUUGGAUUCAUGGGUUGUUCAAAUUUAGCACAAUGUCUUUGGCUAAAAACUUGGUGAUUAUUUUUGUGUAACAUUUUAUAGCUUUCUUUUUUUCUAUUUGUUUCCAUUUUGCAUAUGAACAAUUUAUUUUUGCUUCUAUUUAUUGUUGUUAACUUUUUGGGUUCAAUUUUAUAGGGGUAAUGCUUCGUUUAGUACCAAUCAGUCAAGCCCAAGCUUUGGCCUUUUAGCAUAGUUCAGCUUUAGACAUGUAAGCUGUUUACACUUUAUUUAGAAAAAUAUCUUAGUCAAAUAGAUGUGCUUGUAUACUAAUAAUUAGUAGAUGUCUCUGUUGAUUAUGUUUCUGUUGAUUAUGAGAAAAUGACUAAGUUUCUGUUAAUUAUGUUUUCUGCUAUUUAACUUGUGAACCUCUGUUAAUUAUCUUUUCUGCUAUUUAACUUGCGAACCAUUUCUCUGUGUCCUUAUUUGGCAUUAAAUUAGAUGGAUACCGGGCUCUUCAUGAUGGAAUUAGGUAUUAAAAUUAUCGGCAUAUAAUAAAGCAAAUAAUGGCCUUCUACUACUUUUAAGGUGCUGAUUCUAACCUUUUUUCUUUCACCUUUCGUUUUAAUAUAACCAUCUCUAUGAAUGGAAUUUUUUUUUGCAACAGUGUCUGUAUUGUGUAUAUAAUAAUGUAAUGGAAAAUUGUUCAUUUGUAGUUAUUGCAUGUUUUAUAUUGUAAUUGAAGAUUGUUCGUUUAUUCUUUGGCUACACUGGUGCAAUAUGCCCCGACCUAUGAAUUGUACAAAAUCCUUUGCUCCAUACUUUUGCCUCCAGGGAUAAUUAUAUGGAAAAAACUUGUCUGGCAUAUAGGUAAUUGCAUAGAUAGGCGCUAAUGUUGAUGUUCCUGUAAGUGAAAAAAGUUAGAUUAAAAUGGAAGUGACAAUGAUAAAAGAAAAAAAUCUAUGAUAUAUUUUUGGAGAAUAUGGUAAUUGUUACUAAUAUUUAACUGUAUGAAGUGGAUUUUUGCAGUACCACUCGAAUGCUUCUGCCAUUUGAUUAACAAAACUACGUGUUUAUUUAUGUGGGAAGCAGAAUCGGCCACCCUUGAAGCUUUAUCAAGAUCAGAGCCUUGAAGCAUAUGACCCUGGAUAUUAGAUUUUGCACUAACUGUAGCUAUUUGAUCUUUGCAUUACCUGCUGUCUAUGUAUAUCAGCUCUUCAUGCAUUAUAUCUCACAUGGCUUGUGUUAUCAUAAUAUUUUUGUUUGGUUUAAAAUCUUGUGUAACUGGAUGAGUUAUUUUGUGCCAAGAGUUUGACCAUCCCUUUUGCUACCGAUGUAUUGAGAGAUUAGAAUUAUGGCCUAUACUAAUAAUCCUCCUCCUUUUUUGGUCAAAUGCAAUUUAUCCCACUGAGGUUAAUGUGUAAGCACAGUUUCUUUUUAUUGGAUUUUGUUGAAGUUACAGGCUAAUGAAAACCUUUUUAGUUAUUGUACUACAAAGUAAUGUGUUUUUAGUCUUUGGGUUAUUUUGAAGUGUAUGAUUCUAAUAACAAGGAAAAGGCUUGAUGCAAUACUACACUGCAUUUCUUUUUUUCCUUUUUCUUAUAUUCCUUUUUGAGCUGGAGCAGCUUUGACAUGUAAUGAGAACCUCUAGAAUGCAGUCUACUGGUCGCAAGUUUCAUAAAUGUAGCCUUUUACAUUGUCUCAUGUACUUGUCUUUCCUUUUACGAGAUUCUAGCUGUUGACAUGCAUCAAAUGAUCAAGGGCUGAAUUGCAUUGAGGCCAGUGAAACUUCCUUUUUUUUUUUUUUUUUUGUGUUAAGUAGUUGACCAUCCCCUAUGCUAUUGAUGUAUUGAGAAGAUACACCUGCAUUAGUAAUCCUCCUCCGUUUUUAGUCAAAUGCAGUUUAUCUCACUAUGGUUGAUAUGUAAACACAAUUUCUUUUCCUUUUCGUAGAUUUCUUGAAGUUACAAGCUAAUGAAGCUAUUUUGGUUAUUGUACUACAAAAUAAUGGGUUUUUUUUUUUUGCGGUCUUUGGGUUAAUUUGAUGCAAUUGCGAAAAUAGUGGAUUGGUUGUAUCAGAGUCUAAAAAUAAGGCCAAGCCUUGCUGCAAUACUACGCUGCUCUCGUUUUUUUUUUUUUUUUUUAGCUGGAAAGUCACAGAUUUUGAUGUACAUAAAAAAUAUAAGGCAGUAUUACAUAGUGAUAUAUUAUUUUCAAACUAAUGACAUUGCCAUUGUUGUCCAAUUAGUCAGCAUAACAAAAAUGACUGUCAUUUAGCAACCAGACUGAAAUUGUGUCUCUCUUCAUUGUUUAAUAAAAUUACAAAAAAUAAUCACAAAGAUUUGUGUGCACCUUCAUGUAAUUCUUUAUAUUGAAUAUCCCAAUUUGAAUAAUUGAAUAUUUCUGGGCAAACUUGAAAAUUACACCGCGCAUCGCGCGGUGUUCCCCUCCUAGUAAGUAGAAUAAGCGCCGAAGAGCUCUUAUGACCUAGAUGGUUUUCGUCGUCCUCUCACGUGCGUUGUGUGUGGUUCCUGACGACGUCGUUUUGUGUUGUUCGACUUUCAACUUGAAUUUCUGAAUUUGUUGUUGUCUUUCGCUCGUUUCUUUUCGUCCGGCAGGGUUUAGCUUCGUUGUCUUCUUCCAUGACGUUCGCCACUGUUGUAUAUCAGAAAGGCUGUUUGCCCUUGGUUGCUCCCAUUUAACUAAUCAGCUAGCCUUCGUCCUCAUCUAAUAACGGCAAUAAAUAAUUUCUGUACUACUUUUGCUUUUACUCUUCAGCCUUUUUUUCAGCUUUUCAGCCGGAGCAUUAAUGGGUUCGAGCUUUCCCAGCCUUUCCCAGCCUUCGUCUACAUGUACUUGCUCUCUAUGGUUUUUCUUAAAUUUCCGCCGCUUGCCCCUCUCUUUCUUCCCCUUCUCCUUUGCCUCACCUUCAUCCUCAGAAGCUCCGCCGCCUCUACUUCGUUUCCUCCUCUCCAAAGCAUUCGAUCUCUCAUUUCUUCUUCAUUCUUUUGCAUUUUUUCCCAUUCUCCUGGUUUUGUGUUAAAACCUUCAUUGCAUUGAAUUUUUUUUCAUUUUUUUUGGGUUGCAGCUGGAAUGAUUUUUAAUUUCUGGACUCUUAUGCUCCAUCUAAGAUAGAGUUGGUAGCGCAGAAUCAUCUUUCCUCGCUGGCUCUGUUUUUGCAGGUAAGAAUGUGAGAACCCGUAAAUUUUUCUUAUUUAUUUUAUUUUCCGGCGUGCAUUUUUCUUACCUUAUUUUAUUAUAGCAAUUUUUCAGAGAUUUUUAUAAGUGAAUAUAGUUUUAAAUCAUUUUUCUAGUAUAAGUUAGUUCAUGAGAAAUUAGGAGUGUAUAUUGGACGUGGGACCCGCUAGUACGCUAAAUGCGAUAAAUUUCUGGCAAUUAAUUAAAGUUUGGUAUUGAUGGGUAUUAUUUUACAAGGUGUUAGGAGACAAUUAGAGAUUAGCUAGAUAGCUUAACUAUUGGAAGAUAAGAGGAUUAGAUCAAACCCUUAAAGUGCCACGUGUCGCUUUCCUAUUCAAAGUUGGACUUGCCUAACUUUCUUACCUUUACUAAAACAUCAAUUUUGAUCAAGCUUUCUCCAUUUUAUUUCCUCCCUUGGCUGAACCUUUGAGAGAAGAAAGGAAAGAAGACUUCAUCUUGUAACUUCAAAUUCUGGUCCCAAUCUUGAGUUUCAACUGAUUAAUUUUCAAAUUCCUCCAUAAAAGUGACUUGUUAAGGAAGCUUGAAGGUAUUAGUGAAGUUGUUUUAGAGGAGGAAACCCUAAGCUACUACCUUUCUUGAGGUGUCAAGUUAUUUUGCCUGGAAACUCACUCUUUGUUCCUUAUAAUGGUAAAUUAGUAACUUGUGGUGGCUAAAUAGGUUGUUUUAUGGAAGAUUUCAUGGAAUAAAGUGGAGUUAGAUAAAUUUCUGAUUUUUUUGUGGAUUUUUCUGUUUUCAUAUGAUGGGUAUGAUUGGUCUUGGAUUGAUAGUUCUAAAUUGUGUUAAAUAGAGCCUUUGUGCGUUAAUUGAGGUUAGUUGCGAAAAAUUUCAGUUUUGUGCAGAAAUUUCAGGUUUAGGGUUUCAAAUCUGCCCUAUUUUACACUGCAUGUUCGUCCUUGAAGGAGGCCGAAUCAGCCCUUGCCAAAAACAUGAAAGUUGUUGGUAAUUGAGUCAGCUAGCUACCUAUAAAAUUUGAGCUCAAUCGGAGCACUGUAACAUAUGAAAUAACCAAAAUACCCUUGACUGCCCAUAAGCCUUGUUUCACGGACAGUUUUUUGUCCUCACUAAAAUUUCGAUUUUUGAUCAUGAAAAUGCAUGAUUUGGUUUUGGAGGUCUUCAUAGGAAAUGUAGGUAUAUGUCUUGGUUUCGAAACGCCAUAAGAUUCGUUUCAAUCCGAUAUGUGUAGCUUCAGUUAUGGUUAUUGUGCCGAAAGGUGUGUUUUAUAGUCUAUGAUUUGUAUGUGGUUGAUUUGAGAUGAAUUGGUGUUGAAUGUAGGAUGAAAAAAUAAGAAAAUGUAGGGGACAUACUGUCCAAAUUUUGGGAAUGUGGGAUUUCUUCGAGUUUGGUUUGGUUUGGGAUAUAUAUAAGAAAGGCUUUUGGGGUUGUUCGAACCCUAGGUCUUCAUGUUACCGCCCUAGGUUUUCAUAUUAUCUUUUCGUUCCCAAAAUCAUGUUUUGCACCAUUUCAUUAGUAAUUAUUUGGCGAGGCAUACGACUAGUAGUCGAGUCUCAUUUAUGCAUUCCGUUUACUCGAUUUUGGAUGUGAAACAUUCAAUUAUUUUACUUUGGUUAUUUUAGGGUUUCUUGGCGAUUAAAGCCACUCUGGCGUGAAAACUUUUGAAAUAUCUGUACUUCAACCAGUGAGUGUACCACUCCCUUGAAUUAUUGCUAAAAUGGUUAUCUGUACUUACAAAUUACUAUUUGAACGUCUUUAUCGACUGUUUAUUUUGUACGAGACGAGUGUGUACCUUAUCAUACUCGUUCUCUAGCCUGUGUGGCUUGUUUCCUGUAUAUACUUGAAUCUGUUACCUGCGCCUAUUAUAAUGUCGUUUGGAAGUGUAUCCAACGACCUUCCUGUUACAUCAAAACUCAAUCUCAUGGGGAGUUAAUUGAAUCGAGCCAGAAGGGCUUCGUCAAGAAAAUUGACAAUCCAUGGGUGCCUGUUCCUAGGGAAUCUAUGGGUAUUGGAGACUCUGUAUUUUCGGUAUACUCGAGUAUAUUACCAUUCCUGUUUCUGUUUGGCGUUUGGGCCCGGUAAGGAGUAUGUUUGGUGAACGGGAUUUUGGUAUUAAAGUGAUAUUCUACUGGAUUGGUUCCUUUAUUUGAACGUUGACGGAGGGUCAACAAGGCUGGAUCAUGUAUUGCAACGGGGAUUUGGCUUUUGAGAACCACCUGUAUCCUUUACAUUGUGGUGUUCAUUCAUUUCUCGUAUUUGAUGUGAAUAUGUGCCUUAAAAGUGAUUUUUCAUGAGUUCUACUAUUUCUACUGUUUAUACUUUUGGUACCUCAUUGAGCUUUUAGCUCACCCCGUUCCGUUAUCCUUGUUUUCCUUACAAGGAACCAUCUUUUGGAACUUCGAUGUUUUGAAGAAUCAGUGGAACUAGUUAGAAAUUCUUUUGUUCUUUUGGUAUAGCUCCUCGACAAUUUGAAAACCCUAAAUGUAUCUUAAUACAAUGUUCCUUUUGGUUUGUAACCUUACUAAUAUGCAUAUAUUAAAGUGUUUCCUUGGAUAUGUGGCAUAUGUAUUUGGGAAUGUACAUUCUCUCAUGUUAAACAAAGUUUACUUGAACCGGGUUGGAUUAUGACGUGACAGCGGCACUUCCAUUACGUUUUCAUUUUUCGUGGGAACGUUGUACCAAAGAUUUAUUGUAUCUUUUAGUUCGACUCAAUUGGGAUGUGAAUGUCUAUCUUCUCGAAGUUCUUUUGAGCGUUGGGUAAGGUUUACGUUUGUUUCGGAUCCGUAGUUCCGGCGAGAGUUGAGCUGGCGGUCCGCCAAACCCUUUGGUUCACCUUAGGGUGAGGUGGGGCUGUCACAGGUGGUAUCAGAGCCGCUUCACGUGGUCUCUGCGUGGAGUGAGUUUGGGCCAAAUGGUGUUAUGAUCCUGCUUUCAUGAAUGUGUCUAAGUGCUCGUAUGAGCAUAAGUUAUGAAGCGAGCAUGUUAUAUGUGUAAAAAUCUUUAUCAUGGAACUUGAGGAAGAUAGAUACGUAUGUCGGGUAUGAAUCUAUAAUAUGGAUGAUUUACUCUUAGGACCGGCCGGCUCAAGUUGUGAAUUAUUUUAUUGUGGAUUCUUGUAUUUGAGUAUCAAGUAGUGGAGAACGCGAGAAUAAGGGUCUGUAUCUUGAUUGAACUUGAGGUAUGUCUGGAUUUCAAAGUCUAAGGUACGGAAGAUUUUACAUUGGACCUAGUAAUUAGAUUGGUUGAGGGGGUUUGAUAUGAAAGUGUUAUCAUGGACUACUCUUGUACUAGUCUGGCUCGGGUUUUCUAGAGGGUGGCUAGAUUGUAAGGGAAUUCGCACCUAAGACUUGUUCCCUUUUGCUAUGACCGUAAGGACUUGAUAAUUGUUUACGUGACUUUGAGUUAGUCUAGUUACAACCACAGAGGUUUUUUCUACCCCUAUUGUGAGAUUCGAUACCCGUAGUUUGGCUCUCGAUAAACUACCCUUGCCUAUACUUUCUUGAUAUUUAUCCCUUGAUGUCAAAGUAUGGACCUGACUUGAUUAUUAUUGUGUCGAGGUCGAGAGUUUGAAAUUAGGUAUGGAAAUAUGAGAGAAAGGAUUUAGCCUCUAUACCUGUAUGCUUCUAAGUUUAAUUUUUUGUGGUUAGAUUGGGAGUGAGGGAACUUAACAGUUAUAUGGUUACAGUCCCAAGUGUACUUGGUUACUUAUUUUGAUUUUCUAAUUUGCUUGGCAGGCUAUCCCUUGAGUUCGAGCGAAUCGGUAAAAUGGCACAUUUGGCUGAUAUGUAUAAGGAGAUAGAGAUUCUUCGAAAGGAAGUAGAGUUCCAAAAGAGAUUAGCUGAGCACUGGGAAGGGCAAUGGAAACAGGGGCUCCGUUUGGAUUGGCUGUUUUUUGGAUUGUUUUUCAAAAACACCACUGUAGCAUUUCGAAUUUGAAAAACAAGUCCGUUUGGAUUAGUUGUUUUUUGGGUUGUUUUUCAAAAACUAUAUGAAAAACUUUCAUUGUAGAUUUUUUUGGAUUUUUUUUAGAGGUAUUUUUGAAACAUAUUUUUGAGUAUAAAUAUACAUUUAUGCAUUUAUGAUACAUUUAUAUUUACAAAUGUAUAAAUGUAUAUUAUUAUAAAUGUAUAAAUUAUAAAUGAAUAUUAUAUAAAUGUAUAAAUUAUAAAUUAUAAUUUUUAUAUUUUUAUAUAAAUAUACAUUUAUGCAUUUAUAAUACAUUUAUAGAUAUUUAUAAAUAAAUAUAUUUAUAUAUUCAUAUAAAAAUAUAUAAAUGUAUUAUAUUAUAUAUAAUACAUAAUAUAAAUAUAUUUAUAAAUGUAUAAGUGUAUAUUAUUAUAAAUGUAUAAAUUAUAAAUGAAUAUUAUAAAUAUAUUAUAAAUUAUAAAUGAAUAUUAUAAAUAUAUUAUAAAUUACAAGUGUAUAUUAAUAUAAAUGUAUAAAUUAUAAAUGUAUAAAUUAAUAUAUUAUAAAUAUAUAUUAAUAUUAUGUAGAAAUGUAUUUAUAUAAAUAAUAUAAAUGUAUAUAUGUAUUAAUAUUAUAUAUAAAUGUAAAAUUAAUAUUAUGUAUAUUAAUAUAAAUGUAUAAAUGUAUUAUAUUAUAUAUAAUAAAUAAUAUAAAUGUAUAUUUAAAUGUAUAAGUGUAUAUUAUUAAAAAUUUAUAAAUUAUAAAUGAAUAUUAUAUAAAUGUAUAAAUUAAUAUAUUAUAAAUAUGUAUUAAUAUUAUGUAGAAAUGUAUUAACAUAAUUUAUAUAAAUGUAUACAUGUAUUAAUAUUAUGUAUAAAUGUAAAAUUAAUAUUAUGUAUAGUAAUAUAAAUGUAUAAAUGUAUUAUAUUAUAUAUAAUACAUAAUAUAAAUGUAUAUUAUAAAUAUACAUAAAUAUUUUUAUAUUAUGUAUAAAUGUACAUUUAUAUAAAUGCAUUAAUAUAAUAUAUAUUAUAUUAUAUAUAAUUUAUAUAACAUAUAAUAUUUAUGUAAAUAUAUUAUAAAUAUAUAAAAAUAUAUUUUAAAUAAAAUAAAAUAUUUAUAAUAUGUAUGUAUAAAUAUAUAAUAUUAGAAAUGUAUAAUAUAUAUGAUAUACAUUAAUAUUAAUAUAAUUUAUAUAUAAUAUACAUAAUUGAAAUAUACAUAUUAAUAUAUAUUAUAAAACAAAAUUGCAUAAAUAUAUUUAUAAAUUUAUAUAUAAAUAAAUGUAUUUAUAUAAAUAUAUAAUAUUUAUUUCAAUUGAUAUAAUAUAUAUAAUAUUAUACAUAAUUAAAAUAAAUAUAUUUAUAUUAAUAUAAUAUAUAUAUAAUAUACAUAAUUGAAAUAUAAAUAUUAAAAUACAUAAUUGAAAUAUACAUAUUAAAAUAUAUAAUUAAAAUAUACAUAUUAAAAUAUACAAAUUGAAAUAUGCUUAUUAAAAUAUACAAUUUAAAUAUACAUAAUUGAAAUAUAUUUGGAGUUAUUUUUGAUAUAUUGUUUGGAUAUGGUGUUUUUGAAAUUGUUUUUGAAAUACACAUUUACUGUAGCAUUUGGAAUGUGAAAAACAGUUUUUCAAAAACAAGUGCAAAAAUACUCAAUCCAAACGGACGCUAGGAGUAUUCGGAAAAAAUUGAGUUACUGUACAAGAACAUAGAGCUGAAAAAGAAAUACGAAGGAAUUCUGGAAGAGAUACGAAGUAAGUUUGGGCUAGUGCCUUCAUCUAGUCAAAUGGCCUCUCAGGACAUUCCUAAUAAUAAAGAUGAAGGAGAUAAAGGAAGUGCUCACAAUAACAAAGGGAAACGCAAAGAGAUGGAUGGAAAAGGAGUUGCUAUGAAGGAUAAGGGGAGGAAGAGGAAAAAGAAUGGACACUUUAAGAAGAAAUGUGUGGCUGCUAAGUGUGAAACGUAUAACAAAAGUCAUACAUGAAUAUGUUAUGUGAAAAUUGGUGCAUGCUUUAGAUGCGGCCAACUGGGACACCAAAUGAGGAACUACCCAGAACAAAUGAAUUUUGGGAUGGCGAAUCUGCUGUAAUAGUUAAAAUCGGCAAGUAGUGAUGUGUUAGCUGAAAUAAUUGUAUUUAUGGACCUAUGUAUAUGCAACCUCUAUAUAGUGAGUAUGUUUUGGAUAAAAGUAGUAGAUCUAGUACUUGAUAUUUUGAUGACUAAUAUUAAAUAUUGGUGAUUUGACAGUAUUGAAUCCUGAUUCAUAAAUCUUUUAUUAUCUUUUAGUCUCGAUGUUAAGUGAAAUUUGCGUCUGUGGUUCGGAAGGGGGAAACUUUUGAUGUCUUCACUGAUUUUCUUAGCAUGGCGUUUUAGUCAUAGUAUUAUUGCGAUUUCUCUCUAGAUAGAUUGUGAUACGAGAAGAAUUUCGAGGACGAAAUUCUUUUAAGGGGGAGAGGGUGUGAGGACCCGUAAAUUUUUCUUAUUUAUUUUAUUUUCCGGCGUGCAUUUUUCUUACUUUAUUUUAUUAUCAUAAUUUUCCAGAGAUUUUUAUAAGUGAGUAUAGUUUUUAAAUCAUUUUUCUAGUAUAAGUUAAUUCAUGAGAAAUUAGGAGUGUAUAUUGGACGUGGGACUCGCUAGUGCGCUAAGUGCGAUAAAUUUUUGACAAUUAAUUGAAGUUUGGUAUUGAUGUGUAUUAUUUUACAAGGUAUUAGGAGACAAUUAGAGAUUAACUAGAUAGUUUAACCAUUGGAAGAUAAGAGAAUUAGAUCAAACCCUUAAAGUGCCAUGUGUCACGUUCCUAUUCAAAGUUGGACUUGCCUAACUUUCUUACUUUUACUAAAACAUCAAUUUUGAUCAAGCUUUCUCCAUUUUAUUUCCUCCCUUGGCCGAACCUUUGAGAGAAGAAAGGAAAGAAGACUUUAUCUUGUAACUUCAAAUUCUUGUCCCAAUAUUGAGCUUCAACCGAUUAAUUUGUAAAUUCCUCCAUAAAAGUGACUUGCUAAGGAAGUUUGAAGGUAUUGGCAAGUUGUUUUGGAGGAGGAAACCCUAAGCUACUACCUUUCUUGAGGUGUCAAGGUAUUUUGCUUGAAAACUCACUCUUUGUUCCUAAUAAUGGUAAAUUAGUGACUUGUGGUGGCUAAAUAGGUUGUUUUAUGGAAGAUUUUAUGGAUUAAAGUGAAGUUAGAUAAAUUUCUGAUUUUUUUGGAGAUUUUAUGUUUUCAUAUGAUGGGUAUGAUUGGCCUUGUAUUGAUAGCUCUAAAUUGUGUUAAAUGGAACUUUUGUGCGUUAAUUGCGGUUAGUUGCGGAAAAUUUCAAUUUUGUGUGGAAAUUUCAGGUUUAAGGUUUCAAAUCUGCCCUGUUUUUCACUGCAUGUUUAUCCUUGAAGGAGGCCGAAUCAGCCCUUGCCAAAAACAUAAAAGUUGUUGGUAAUUGAGUCAGCUAGCUACCUAUAAAAUUUGAGCUCAAUCGGAGCAUUGUAGCAUAUGAAAUAACAAAAAUACCCUUGACUGCCCAUAAGUCUUGUUUCAUAGACAGUUUUCUAUCCUCACUAAAAUUUCGAUUUUUGGCCAUGAAAAUGCAUGAUUUGGUUUUGGAGGUCUUCAUAAGAAAUGUAGGUAUAUGUCUUGGUUUCGAAACGCCAUAAGAUUCGUUUCAAUCCGAUAUGUGUAACUUCAGUUAUGGUUAUUGUGCCGAAAAGUGUGUUUUAUAGUCUAUGAUUUGUAUAUGGUUCAUUUGAGAUGAAUUGGUGUUGAUUGUAAGAUGGAAAAGUAAGGAAAUGUAGGGGACAUGCUGUCCAAAUUUUGGGAAUGUGGGAUUUCUUCGAGUUUGGUUUGGUUUGGGAUAUAUAUAAGAAAGGCUUUUGGGGUUGUUCGAGCCCUAGGUCUUCAUGUUACCGCCCUAGAUCUUCAUGUUACCUUUUCGUUUCCAAAAUCAUGUUUUGCACCCUUUCAUUAGUAAUUAUUUGGCGAGGCAUACGACUAGUAGUCGAAUCUUACUUAGACAUUCCGUUUACUCGAUUUUGGAUGUGGAACCUUUAAUUGUUUUACUUUGGUUAUUUUAGAGUUUCUUGGCGAUUAAAACCACUCUGGCGUGAAAACUUUUGAAGUAUAUGUACUUGAAUCAGUGAGUGUACCACUCCCUUGAAUUAUUGCUAAAAUGGUUAUCUGUACUUGCAAAUUGCUAUUUAAACGUCUUUAUCGACUGUUUAUUUUGUACGAGAUGAGUGUGUACUUUAUCACACUCGUUCUCUGGCCUGUGUGGCUUGUUUCCUGUAUAUACUGGAAUAUGUUACCUGCGCCUGUUAUAAUGUAGUUUGGAAGUGUAUCCAACGACCUUCCUAUUACAUCUGAGUUCAAUCUCAUGGGGAGUUAAUUGAAUCGAGCCAGAAGGGCUUGGUCGAGAAAAUUGACAAUCCAUGUGUACCUGUUCCUAGGAAAUCUAUGGGUAUUGGAGAUUCUAAAUUUUCGGUAUACUCGAGUAUUACCAUUCCUGUUCCUGUUUGGCGUACUGGCGCAGUAAGAGGUAUGUUUGGUGAUCGAGAUUUUGGCAUUAAAGUGGUGUUCUAUUGGACUGGUUCCUUUAUUUGAACGUUGACGGAGGGUCAACGAGGUUGGAUCAAGUAUUGCAACGGAGAUUUGGCUCCUGAGAACUACCUGUAUCCUUUACAUUGUGGUGUUCAUUCAUUUCUCAUAUUUGAUGUGAAUAUGUGCCUUAAAAGUGAUUUCUCAUGAGUUCUACUAUUUCUACUGUUUAUACUUUUGAUACCUCAUUGAGUUUUUAGCUCACCCCGUCCCGUUAUUCUUGUUUUCCUUACAGGGAACCAUCUUUUGGAACUUCGAUAUUUUGAAAAAUGAGUGGAGCUAGUUAGAAAUUCUUUUGUUCUUUUGGUAUAACUCCUCGACAAUUUGAAAACCCUAAAUGUAUCUUAAUACAAUGUUUCUUUUGGUUUGUAACCUUACUAAUAUGUAUAUAUUAAAGUGUUUCCUUGGUUAUGUGGCAUAUGUAUUUGGGAAUGUACAUUUUCUCAUGUUAAACAAAGUUUACUUGAACCGGGUUGGAUUAUGACGUGACAGCGGCACUUCCAUUACGUUUUCAUUUUUUGUGAGAACGUUGUACCAAAGAUUUAUUGUAUCUUUUAGUUCGACUCAAUUGGGAUUUGAAUAUCUAUCUUCUCGAAGUUCUUUUGAGCGUUGGGUAAGGUUUACGUUUGGUUCGGAUCCGUAGUUCCGGCAAGAGUUGGGCAGGCGAUCCGCCGAACCCUUUAGUUCGACUUAGAGUGAGGUGGGACUGUCACAGAGAAUCACGGCCAUUAGAUUCGCAUUCUUGAACUCCGACAACUGGUUGCUGAACCCACUAUGAGGUGCGUACCAGAGGAACUUUUCUCCCCUAAAUUCUUCUGAACUUGUGCAUUGUGGAGGAACUGGGACUUGUUCGGAAUUACCUGAAAUUGAAAGCACGGAUGGGGGAAGAAGGCGCUUGUACGUAAUGAAAAGAAGAAGAGAGCAACAAAGAAGGACAAAAAGUGCGAAGGAUUUUGAUUUGGGAUGCUGAUUUUGAUUCUCUCUUUUUGCUUCUGAUGGGAUUCAGCGGUUCCAUAUUUCGUCUUAGGAAGAAUCAAAAGGUUUUGGAUUGGUCGUUAGUUAGCUGUUCAUAAAUUCACAUAAGUCGCAAUGAAGUAGUACGACAUUGGAUCAAGAAAAUUGGAUCAGAAAAGAACUGUCAAGUUCUAAAAUUAUACUAUAAUUUUGGUUCCAUUGUCCUUUUUAAGGUACUACCUUCUUUGUUCUGAUGUUUUUUCCCAUUUUUUCUAUUUCCCUUGUUCGAGCUUUGUGGAUUAGCCCAUAUUUUAAAAGCGACAAGUCAAGAUUGAAUCCAUGUUGCGAGCUGCUGAGUUGCGGCACAUUAAAUUGAACACGGUUGCAUAUAAUUCUGCGAUUGGAAGUUACAUGAAUUUUGGGGACUUUGAAAAAGCAAUAAUGGUGUAUGGGUCGAUGAGGAAACACAAUGUUAAACCCGAUUCUGUCACUUACAAUGUGUUGAUAAGUGGUUGCUGUAAGAUGUCAAAGUUCUCUAAUGCACUUGAAUUUCUCAAUGAAAUGUUGGACCUCAAAGUUCCAUUAUCACAAGAGGUGUAUUCAUCUGCUAUAUGUGCCUAUAGUAAACAGGCAAGGACUAUCGAUUUGUGACUACUGUCCCUGUAAUUAGAUUCUUCCAUACUUAAAUCUCUCUCUCUCUCUCAGGGUCAACUUGCUGGAGCAGAAUCAAUGUUUUCCAUGAUGAAGAUGGCUGGUUUUCAUCCUGAUGUUGUCACAUAUACUGCUAUGCUACAUGCAUAUAGUGUUGCUGGUAAAAUCCUAUGUCGGACUAUUUCAUAUAUGCUGGCUUAAAAUUACUGAUAUUAAGAAGCUCAAACUGAAUGUCUUGUGGAAAUUCCGUAUGCAGAUGACUGGGAGAAAGCUUUUGCAAUAUUUCAAGAAAUGGAAUUGCCUGGUGUCCAGCAAUUCAAGGAGUGGUUUUGUAAAUGAAGCAAAGCUCCUCCCGGAACUGAGCCCAAUAAAAUUCUUUCCUUUGUUGGAAUGCAUAUGGAUGUUGUUACUGCCAACCCUUCUGACUGGGUAACAGAUUUUGAACUUUUAGCAUUUUUGAGUAAUUUAUUUGUAAUCUGAUUAUACAUUUUGGCAUUUUUAUUACAUUCUGAUGAUUGGUUUUGUCUUGUGUUUGACUGGAACUGAUCGUAAAUUUGUUUUGUGUUGUGAGUUUGCCAGAAUGAGGACAAAAGAAAAUGGUAUAUGUUAAUUGGGUUUUCUUACUUUAAGUUUGCAACUCUCUCUCUAUUCUGAAAAAAAGAUUGUUUUAAUUGAUGAUGAAAGGGGUUUCUUUGAUUGGAAGUUUAAAUUUGAUAGUGCAAGGUUUAAAGUUGGAGACUUUUUGUGUUUUUAUACACUGGCAAUAUUUUUCUGAAUCGUUUCAUUGUUAUUAUGGUUAGAUCUCGCUGUUGCAUGUACAAUGCUACAAACAUAUCCAUUUUCCCCAGGAAUUUGAACCUCGUAUGGAAAUUGUAGUUAUGCAAUGACAAGCCGUGGAACUUAGUUAAUUUUUCGUAGAUAUUGAAUGCAUGCAAGUUUUAUUUUACGGUAGCUGCUGAUUUGUAGUCUAAGGAUGUUCACUAUAAGAAAAUUAAAUCUUGAGUGCUAAAUUGGUACCUUAAUGAAAAUUUUUGGCUCUCUAUAUUGUUUUAUGAGGCCCGUGCUAUGAUUUGGGGGAAUGAGUUCAUUAGCCUUACUAACUAAUGGGUAUCUCAUUCUGUUGUUGCAAAUAUUGUAUUCCAUCGAAACAAAAUUACGUCAGCUCGUAACUUAUAUUUAAAGCUAUUUAAAGCUAUUUAACCAGCUAUUUCUUAAUUCGAGGGCAUGAUUAUGGAAUUUAGCUAGAACCUGUCAUUGUAAUUAUCUUUUUCCAAGGUUUCAAGGAAGUAAAUAGAGGGGUUGGAAACAAACUAAGUUUGAGUUCUGCUCUUUGACCUGGGUAUAAAUUUUUGUCUCCUCAGUAUUCGAGUGUUUUGUAUUUAGAGUCUAAGACAAUAUCUAUGCCUCAGAAUUUUGAUCCUUUUUCGCUGAGCAUUGAUGGGGAUAAACUACGGGGACGCGGAACUACUGAUUGCCUUGGGCAUGUCGCUCUUGUAGCUGAACUUAUGACGAAACUGGGAGAGACAAAGCCACAGCUGAAGUCCUCUGUUGUUGCUGUUUUUAUAGCCAGUGAAGAGAAUUCAUCUAUUCCUGGGGUUGGUGUGGAUGCAUUGGUUAAGGAUGGAUUGCUCGAUAAGUUGAAACAGGGGCCUUUGUAAGGACAUAAAAGUAGUAUUUAAGUAUGAGAAUCUUUUAUUGGUUAAUUGGUUAUGUUGAAAUUGUUUGGCAUUUGGUUAAUGGUUUAUGUGUUUGAAAACAGAUUUUGGAUAGAUACAGCGGAUAAACAGCCUUGCAUUGGGACAGGUGGCAUGAUACCAUGGAAACUCCAUGUUACCGGAAAGCUUUUCCACAGUGGUUUGCCCCAUAAGCUGCUUUUUGGCUUUCUGUUGUCUCAUAUCAGCUGCACUAAUUCUUUGUGUAAAACUCACAUAUGCAGGAAAGAGAUACUGUCACUUUCUUAGUUGUGUCACCAUGCAGGCAGUUCAUAUUAUGACAAAGAUCAAGUAAUUAAAGUAACCAUUUUUCUGGAAUGAUGAAACUAAACUAAAAGAGAGGCAUCAAAAAAAAAUUUUAACUUUGCAAGCACAAAAAAUACAUUUAAUAUUAUUUCCUCUUGAAUUAAAUUAUUUAUGCAGAAACAACUGCAUUUGAAGUAUUCUUAGUUCACGGAUAAAUCCUUGUUAGUGAUCACAGUGCACCAAAAAUAAAUGGGAUAGGGUUGGCUGUAGAUGAAUUAAUGUUACGAUAAUUUAGCUGGACAAUAACUUGGAGGGAUUGAAGAGGAAUACUGCUGCAAGUUCAUGCACAUUAAGAAUGCUCCAUUACUGGGAGGAACCUGUGAAUGUGUUCCAUUUAGUAGUUUUCUUUUUCUGUAGGCUAUUAAUCCCUUGGAGCUAGCAAUGGAAGCACUCAAAGAGAUCCAAUUACGGUUCUAUAAAGAUUUCCCUCCUCAUCCUAAGGAACAAGUUUAUGGAUUUGCAACACCAUCAACAAUGAAACCAACUCAAUGGUCUUGUAAGUCUUGAUCACAUUGUGGAAGAACUCGGACAAGUGUGAUAUUUGACUUGCCAUAAGCGGCCAAUCCAAUUCCAUUUUUCUGAAUAACCAUUUUAUAUUGCAGAUCCAGGAGGUGGAAUUAACCAAAUUCCAGCUGAAUGUACAGUUUCAGGGGAUGUUAGGUACAUAUUUCUUUAUAUAUUCUUGUUUAGGAUCUUGAACUUUUAAACCCUUCUAACAAUGCCUCUUUACUUUUGCAGGUUGACUCCAUUUUACAGGUGGAAAAUUUUUCCUUUUUUCUCCUUAGUAAAUUGUGGAUGAUUUAAUUUAUCAGAUUAUGAUAUUUCACAAUUAAUUCCUUUGCCCUCUUCAUUUUUAUGCUUUAGGCUUAAACUAAUUAUCUUCCUGUACUUAAGUCUGCUGUAGCUUUACCAGUUGAGUUUAGAAGGAUAUUCAGGUAAAAAUUCAAAAGUUUGACAGUAUAUAUUAUUCACUCCUCAACAGUGUAUCAGAUGUGCUGAAGAAGUUACAGGAGUAUGUAGAAGACAUAAAUGAAAAUAUUGAGAAGCUUGAUACUAGGGGCCCUGUUUCAAAAUAUGUGCUACCAGAUGAAAACCUAAGGGGAAGGUAUGCCUUUGUCGACUGCUUUGUUUAGUAGGAGCAUGCUGAGUGGUUGUUGCUUUCACUUUAAAUUUGGUAGGAAUGAAAAAGGGGAUUGUAGUUUAUCAAAUUGAAAAUCAUUUAUCCACUAAUUCAAGAAAAUUUUAAUAUACAGAGAAGAAGUAUGCAUAAGGUAAUUACACAUCCUAAGAUUAUAAACACUGCAAGAAACCAUUAUUAGGCCCAACAGUCAACAAUGUAAUGCGAAAGUUUUUUGUAAACUGACAGAAAAGUUAAAACUGUCCCUGGAUACAAUCUAUGAAUAUGGGAUAAAUUCUACAUUUUAGAUCUUGAACUAAGACUUCUCUGUUGCAAAUGGUUUUUCAACUCAAAGCCACAUGCUUCAUCUGGGACUAGGAGGGAUCACAGAACCAAAGCUCCCUUGUUUUCUACAGUUUCUAAUUCAUAUCUUUCCACUUUCCCAGAAGUUUAAUUGAGUAUGCUCUUUCAAAGUUCAAAUAAACAGAAAAGAAAGUCCCACAUCUUUCUUGCAAACUGGAAAGCAUUUCAUCGAAGGAUAUUUAGGUUUGGGCUUCCUGUCAUAGACAUGCUUCAUCACGUUGGGGGUUUUCUUUUAUCUUUUUCCUUGGGAGUUGGAAUGGGCAGCACUGAUGGCAAACAACAUAAGGGAAAAAAAUGCCCAUGUCAUGAGAACUUUUGUUUCCACAUAGGGGAUGGAACAGCUUUCCACUAAUAAAGACAUUCCUUGAUCAAGUAUUUAUGUUGUGAAUUGCAUUGCACCCUGAGAUUAUAAUUUCAAACAUGGAAGUAGGGUGAUGGUCUUAUGGAAUCAGUUUUCUUUGCAUAUCAGUACAGUACUCAUUGUGUAACAUUCAGUUUUACAAUUUAUUUACCCUCAGAAUCACACUAAGUUUCAACGAGGCAAAUUCUGGAGUUGCUUGCAAUCUUGAAUCCCCUGGUUUCCAUGUCCUAUGUAAAGCGACUGAACAGGCAGUGGGGCAUGUAAAGCCCUAUUCUAUUACUGGUAGUUUGCCACUUAUUAGAGAAUUGCAGGUACAAUGAAUUUGCUUGUCAUAAGACUCAAAUCUUUUGGCAUCCUUCUAACUUUGUUAUUUGGCAGGAUGAGGGCUUUGAUGUCCAAACUGCAGGCUAUGGUAAGAUUCUUCCAUAUCCUACCACUUUUUUAUUUAAAUAAUAUAAGCUUAUAGCUGUAUGCUUCUGGUAGUAUUUUGUGAAAAAGAUGUUUUAGUCUGCACUAGGAUUUUUCCUAGAGCUUGGUUGCUUGAAUCCUUUCUUGAGCAUGUUACUUGCCAGUUAUACCAUUCCUCUUAUCUUAGAAGGAACUCGAUGAAAGCAUGUUAAGAUUCUGUCUUCUUGAUAAUUAUUUCUUCUAUAUGGCUAACACCUAACCUGGUUGACAUCUUCUACACCCAUUCUGAUGCAAAAGAUAUAUAUGCUGCUGUCAAUUUUGGCUACACCAAAACAGAUGGAUUAAUGGAUUUUGCUCUUUUCAUAAACAUGCAGGCUUGAUGGCUACAUACCAUGCCAAGAAUGAGUACUGCCUUCUAACUGACAUGUGCCAGGGCUAUCAUGUGCCUUGUGCCCAUGUCAUGCUAAUAAUAACGAAUAAAAUUCAUGACUUUUCAUUAUUGAUGUGAAUGUCAGAUGAUGGAAUAGUGGUAAAGGUGAGGUUAUUUUCUUUUAAUGCGUAGGAAGUUCCACGAAUGGUUGGUGGCUUGUUAAGACUAUAUUUUCUUGCAUGUGGGAUAUUCUUUUGUAUAUUUUCUAGCAUGUAGGAUAUUCUUUUGUGACUUGUGAGAAAGUCGUGGUAAUUGUUAUGUUUCAUAUGAAUAGUUUCCAUAUUUUAGUUAUUCCUAUCUGACACAUAUGGCUCACUCAUUGCCAAGUCUUGGAAAUUUUUUGCACGGGAGCACCAUUGAUGGUAAUAAAUGGAAAAAAAAAUGACAAUAAUAGGUGCAGAAAUGGUAUAAUGGUAAGGUUUCUUACACAAAUUGAAAAAACAAUGAAAGAAAAGGAUAGGGAUGAAAGAAUAUAAAGGACUUUAUGAACUUUGUGUUUCUAUAGCCAUUUGAUAUUCACACACAGAUUAUUGCUUCAUUUUGAAACAGGUUGCAAAGGAGGGAAUUCCACUGCCUCCAGAUAGAAUGUUAUGCCCUUUGUGUUCACAAAAGCAUGUAAAUCCAUCAGCUGUAGCUGUUUCAGGAUUUGUCUUUUGUUAUUCUUGCAUAUUUAAAUAAGUCUCUUAGGUUUGUUUCUCCAUACUUUUGUAUUGAUCAUGGUAAAAUUGCAGAACUACUGCCAAAUAUUGUUUCUAAGUGAUGCUUUCUCUUAUGUCGCAUUUCAGGAAGCUUUAUCAUUUUUCUGUAUAGUGUACGCUAAACUUAAACAGUAAAUUGUACACUGUAGCCAGAAAUUCAAUUUUGCAACUAAUUCUUUUGUUUAAUCAUACUAGCAGUUGCUUGUUACCCGAGUUCAGUUACAUGAGAUUUGCCAUUUUCAGUUACAAUUCGAUAUUGUUUUGAGUUGUUGAUGGGCUGGGAUGCUAGGCUAUCUAGAUCCAUGUCUGUCUUUGUUGUUGUAAACUACUGCAGUAUCUCUGAUGAAAAAUUAUCUGAGUGUUCUCUCUUUUGGUAAAAAUUUCUGUAGUAGGAUAUUUUGUCGUAUAUCAUUUACUUUUAAGUUCCAAUUCUUUUAUGAACAGGACUGUUAGGUCCUUUUCCUUUUCUUCCUUUUUUGGUCGAAUUAAUGAAUGGAAGAUUGUAAUCGCAUGAAUAUUGUACAUUGUGAUAUCUACUCAAGUUAAUGCAUUCUAAGGGCAUUUGCCAAUCUUUGGGCUGACCAUCCUUUGCUGUUGUUGUAUUCAAUCAAAAAGGCAUCGAAAAAAUGUAUCCAUGGCAUUUUAAUUUUCAUCUUCAGCUCAAUUAGGCCAUUAUUAAUCUGGUACAUUUCAGUAAUUGACAGGUGUCGAGCCUGUGCAAUAAUAAAUACCUACUCGAGAAAAAUGAAUUUUCUGUGUAUAGUAGUGAGUAGGGUCGAAUCCACAGGGAUUGGAAAAAAUUCGAUUCUUUUCACGUUCGGGACACGGGGGAUUUUUAUCAAAUAAAACUAAAAAUAAAUAAUUAAACAAUUUAACUAAAAAUAAUUAAACAAUUUAACCAAAGAUAAAUAAUUAAUUAAUACAAUUGUAAAUAGCAAUUAAAUAAAUGAUAAAUAAAUUCUAGCCAAGGAUACAACUACGCAGACACAGUCCAUUCAUCCGAUCAUUGAUGCAAAGAAGGUUCACUUAAUUUAAUUAAUAGGCUAGUUAUAGUCGCCGAUAAACUCUAACGACCAGUUUUUCCUUAAUUUAUUGAUAACCAAGGUACGACCAUUGAUUACCCCUAACCAGGAAAUACUCCUAGGUACGACCGUAGGAAUUAAUUUCCUAAUUGCAUUAAAAACUAGAAAAGCCUAAUCCAAAUUAAUAACACGCUACGAGGGUUAUUUAAAUCAGAUUGCAUGUUCUCCUAGUAUGUGAAAAUACUAGUUGUCACUAAUAUUAACCAACUAAACAAUUAAGGAUUUAAUUGAUUAAUUUGACAAGAGAUUAAUAAGUCAAAUUGCACAUCGGUCCCUUGAUAUCCAAUUAACAAAAUAAUCCCAUGGAAAUUAAAAUAGAAAACAUGCAAAUAUUAACAAAUUAAGGAACACGUAAAAUUAAUUAGAUCUCACAGAUAUUUGGGACUGCGUCUUCGCGUUGAUCCUUGACUAGAGGAGAAAAUUAGCCACGCCUCAUAAGAAAAUUCCCACGCAAUUUAAUUGAACUCAAAGACAUUUAUCUCUUACUAAUAAUUAAAAAUAAGAAUUGUAUUCUCUGUAGUCUAAUACAAUAAAAAUAGUCUCAUGGAAGAGACGGAAGAAAACAAGACACACGAGAAAUCUUCACCCCCAAAACUAAAAACUUCUCUUCCCAGACAGAAGAGAAGAAGAAAAACUGAUUCUGUAAAAUGUCCGGCCCUCUCUCAUUCUCCUCUGCACUAGUUUUAUAUGAGAACUAGUUACGUAGGAAGCAAAUAGAAAAGCUACUUUCAUCAUCAAAGUCCACCUAUGGCUAAUGAGUACAUCUCCCAAAAGAAGAACACAUUUUCUAAAUCAAUGUUACGUGGUCCCUGCAGAAUUCUCUCCUUUUGACUUCUUAUUGCUAGUGGACUUGUCAGGACUUAAUAAUAGGAAGGCAACUCUUCAUCAGCAAUUCCGUUGGUUUGCACAAUUUGGGCUGAUUGUGGAAAGCUUUUAGAAGCUUUCACGUGUGGAGAGAUCUUCUCAAGAAGGUUCCCUUUUAGCACUUUUCUGCUCCACUUUCUGAAAUUAUAUCCAAAUACCAAAUAUAAAUAUAUAUUGACAAUUAAAGCAAUAUUUGGCAAGGAUAAAGAGGAGAAUUAACAAUAAAAUUACUAACAAUUAACAUCCUAUCAAUUCCCCCCACACUUAAAUCAUGCUUGUCCUCAAGCAUGGGAACAACUAAAUUCAACAAUGGCUAACUCUCAUUUCAUUUACUGCCAAGCUAUGCUUAUCCCAAAAUCAAGUUUUAGUGGCUAAGUGUCAAGACAUAUUUCUCCCGAUUAGCUCCUGAAAUCAUAGACUCGUCCAAUUCAUGGCUAACUCGUCUAAGAAAUUAAAAUAUUAAACUAGCAAAAGUUAGCAAUUGGGUCAACUGAAAAUCAAAAUCUCAACAUUGAAGAACAAGGAUCGGCAGGCCAAUAUGAUCAUAAGUUUACACAUUAUUUUAUUCUCUCUCUCUUUUUUUUUUUUUUAACAAUUAAUUUUUUUUUUUCAAAAAUGCUCAGUCCCAAGCUAUUCAAGUCUUUUGACGUGAACUCUGACAUUUUUAGAUGAAAGAGCCCAGUUACUCAACUUUUCACAGCUUCAGGACUAACUACUCAUAGAUAUCGCCACUUUUUGACGCGAAAGUCGACACUUGUGGUGAAAACUCCCGGUUACUGGGUGACGGCACUAGCGGAGUAGAGUCAUUUAUUAAUCACAAUUAAAGUAUCAGAAUACCAGAUAAUUAAAGAUCAUGGCCCACGUCAUCUCCUAAUAUGGAGAACUAAGAUCAACAAUUACCCAAUCCACAUAACAAUUGCUAAUAAAAUAUUUAAAUUGCCUAAACAAGUUAACCACAAUUUGCACCAAGUCAUUAAACUCAUGAUAUUCACCAAGAUAACAUGCGUUUACUUGCCAUCUAAACAAAAUUCAUAGGAUAAAUCACAACCAGCAAUAAACGAAUGAAUUGCCAUAUUUAUUCAUCAAAACACUAGUAAGAAAGGCAGUAAAUUAAAGAAACACCAAUCAAAACUAAACCCAAAUCCCCCCCCACACUUAAAUCACACAUUGCCCUCAAUGUGAUAAUGAAACAGUAAAAAUAAGAAGAAGGACAACGAAACUCCCCUGAAACUGGUGCCAGCUAUUAGCACCUGUAGUUGGAGGAGGCGGAGCGGAGGUCAAAGGGUCGGGAUCGUGGUUUCACCAUUCUUUCCAAAUUGUACUAAAUAAAUAAAAAUCAAGCAAAGUAAAAAGAAACAGGCAAAAUAACACAGAAGUAUCCAACUAAGGAUGAAUAGAAAUGUCAGGUAGUCCAAACACGCAAAAUUUUCAAAAACGUACUGUAAUAAAAAUAAUAAAAACAUACUGCAAUAAUAAAAUAAAAAAAUAAAAAAAAAUAAUAGAAAGAGAUUGAGGCAGGCGCGUGCAUACGAAGCCAGUGGUGCGAUGAAGGUGGUGGCUGUGAGAGAGAAGAGUUUGCGGCAGCUGGAUCUGGUGGUGCUUAGCGACUGCGGGUGGUGGGCGACGGGUUGGGGUAGCGCGCGCGAGGGAGCGGCGGGCUCCAGGUGGCGCGCGCGAGGGAGCGGCGGUGGCGUCGGUGGAGCAGGAUUUAGGGAGGAGACCUGGGGUGGCGGCGGUGGGCGGCGGUGGGGUGAGGUUCGCAGCCGAAGAAGAAAGAAAAAGAAAGGGACAGCGGAAAGAGAAGAAAGAAAAGAAGAAGAAAGAAAGAAAGAAAAAGAAAAGAGAAAAAGAAAGGAAAAAAAAUAGUUUUUGAUCUUACAGUUUUUUUUUUUUUUUUUUAGUUCGUCAAACAUGGCAUGGGCACGCCAAGAUUAGAAAACAUUCUCUGACCUUGAAGUUGGAACUUGUAAGAUUAAUGCGUGCCCUCUCCGCGCGGGCACGCCAUGAUCACCUGUCCUGAUCAUAGUAGAGAAAAUAUCAAAUUUAAGCAAUACCCAGAUGAGAAACGACAUAUUUAACGAAUUGAACAACAAAAACCAACAAAAUCAAAAAUUGGGUUGCCUCCCAAAAGCGCCUUUCUUUAACGUCUUUGGCUAGACGGUGUCCAGAAUUUGCUUAAACUAAGCAAAUCGGGUCUUCCAGUUGCAUCAUCUCCACCCGUUCAAUUGGAAAUCCUUCAUAAUACGGCUUGAGACGGUGACCAUUCACCACAAAUUUCUUCUCCGUUUUCAAAAUUUGGAUCUCUACUGCACCAUAAUGAAAGACAUUAGUCACAACAAAAGGGCCAAUCCAACGAGAACGUAAUUUACCUGGAAAUAGUUUCAAUUUGGAGUGGUAUAGUAAAACUUUUUGCCCGCAGACGAAUAUCUUCCUAGAGAUCUGUUGGUCAUGAAAGAUCCGAUUCUUCUCUUUAUAGAUCACUGCAUUCUCGUAUGCUUCAUUUCGGAUUUCUUCCAACUCUUGUAAUUGCAACUUCCUUUGAAUUCCGCCCUCCUCGAUAUCCAUAUUGCAUUGCUUGACCGCCCAAAACGCUCUAUGCUCAAACUCUAUCGGGAGAUGACAUGGCUUUCCAAAUACCAAUCGGUAAGGGGACAUGCCAAUAGGUGUCUUGUAUGCCGUCCUAUAUGCCCAUAGUGCAUCCUCUAGUCUCACACUCCAAUCCUUCCUAUCGGGUCGGACCAUCUUUUCUAGAAUUGAUUUGAUCUCUCGGUUCGAUGCUUCCGCCUGACCAUUUGUCUGAGGAUGGUAGGAUGUAGAGACUUUGUGCAAAACACCGUAUCUCCUAAAAAUUGCAGCGAUCGUUUUGUUGCAGAAAUGAGUACCCCGAUCACUUACAAUUGCUCGCGGCAUCCCAAAGCGAACAAAAAUAUUAGACUUAACGAAUUCUGCAACCACUUUGGAAUCAUUAGUACGGGUGGCCUUUGCUUCUACCCACUUCGAAACAUAAUCUACAGCAAGCAAUAUAUACAAAAAACCAAAGGACGAAGGAAAAGGACCCAUAAAAUCAAUGCCCCAAACGUCAAAAAUUUCAACAAAAAUCAUUGGGGUUUGAGUCAUUUGAUCCCUACGAGAGAUAUUACCCACUCUUUGACACUUAUCACAUGACUUACAAAAUGAGUAGGCAUCCUUGAAUAGAGUUGGCCAAUAGAAUCCACUCUCUAGCACCUUACGAGCCGUUCUCUUCGGUCCAAAGUGACCUCCACAUGCAAAAGAGUGACAAUAUGCUAGAAUAGAUUGAAAUUCAACUUCACUUACACAUCUACGGAUGAUUUGAUCGGCACCCCGCUUUCAGAGGUAAGGAUCAUCCCAAAUGUAGAACUUUGCAUCGCUCCUCAACUUGUCUCUCUUUGCCUUAGGCCAUCCUGUAGGAAAUUUGUCAGUGACUAUAAAAUUAACAAUAUCUGCAUACCAAGGCAAGAAUGAAUUAAUAGAAAAUAAAUGCUCCUCGGGAAAUGCUUCUCUCAAUGGGAGGUCCUUUUCGACGACUUGUACUCGACUCAAAUGAUCUGCUACUAGGUUCUCUGCCCCUUUCUUAUCUCGGAUCUCCAGGUUGAACUCUUGUAACAACAAUAUCCACCGUAUCAAUCGCGGUUUUGCCUCUUUCUUGGUCAAUAAAUACCGUAAAGCUGCAUGAUCAGAAAAAAUAAUAACUUUAGCACCAAGUAAAUAAGACCGAAAUUUUUCUAAGGCAAAAACAACUGCUAAAAGCUCCUUUUCGGUGGUUGAAUAGUUCAAUUGAGCUCCGUUCAAGGCUCGAGAUGCGUAGUAGAUAGCAUGAGCUGCCUUUCCUACUCUUUGACCCAAUACCGCACCCACUGCAUGGUCGCUGGCGUCACACAUGAUCUCGAAUGGGAGGUUCCAGUCAGGGGGUUGGAUAAUAGGUGAGGUGGUCAAUAACUCCUUUAACUUAUUGAAUGCCCCCUUACAUGUUUCAUCAAAUUCGAAAGAUACAUCUUUUUGCAAAAGUUGGAACAAGGGUGCUCCAAUUUUCGAGAAGUCCUUGAUGAACCUUCUAUGGAAACCUGCGUGACCCAAGAAGGAACGAACUUCCCGCACACUCGCGGGGUAAGGUAAAGUAGAUAUAACAUCUAUUUUUGCCUUAUCAACCUCAAUACCUGUAGAUGAUACAACAUGACCCAAAAACUAUCCCGUGUUCAACCAUAAAAUGACAUUUUUUCCAAUUAAACACGAGAUUAGUUUCUAUACACCUUACUAAGAUCAAUUUCAGGUUAUCUAGACAGUUUUCAAAACUUUCACCAAAUACACUGAAAUCGUCCAUGAAAACCUCAAUAAUCUUCUCAACAUAUUCUGAAAAGAUACUUACCGUGCAUCUUUGGAAGGUAGCAGGUGCAUUGCACAAUCCAAAUGGCAUCCUUCGGUAUGCAAAUGUUCCAAAUGGGCAGGUGAAAGUAGUCUUCUCUUGGUCUUCGGGUGCGAUGGCAAUUUGAAAAUAACCUGAAAAUCCAUCCAAGAAACAAUAGUAAGCUCGACAUGCUAAUCGCUCCACCAUUUGGUCAAUGAAAGGGAGGGGGAAAUGGUCCUUUUUCGUGACGGCAUUUAGCUUUCGGUAAUCGAUACACUGUCGCCAUCCGGUGGGCUUUCGAAUUGGUACGAGCUCACCCUUUUGGUUUGAUUCCACUGUCACCCCUGCCUUCUUCGGGACCACCUGUACUGGACUUACCCAUGGGCUGUCUGAUAGUGCAAAUAUAAUUCCAACGUCCAGCAGCUUUAAAAUCUCUUUCUUUACGACCUCCAUCAUGAGAGGAUUUAAUCUCCGUUGAGCUUGUCGUAUAGGUUUAGCAUUCUUCUCGAGUCGAAUUCGGUGCAUACACACCGCGGGGCUAAUUCCCUUGAUAUCGGCGAUGGUCCAUCCUAUCGCCUGCUUAUGUUCCCUAAGAACUCGAAGUAGUUUCUCUUCUUGAACCUUUGAUAAACCCGCGGAGAUGAUCACUGGAAGUGUCUCCCCUUCACCUAAGUAUAUAUACUUUAGGUGUUUCGGCAGUGGUUUUAGUUCCAAAACAGGUGCCUGCACCACAGAUGGAAGUAACCUUUUGUGAGGUUCAGGUAUAAAAAUGGGUGCGAGGUCAUACCUUGUCUUCGUGGUUGGUAACGUUUGCAACGAUCCAAUCACGCAUUUAAGCUCUUCACUCAACUCUACUCCAGAUGUCGUUUCGGACUCGAAGUGCUUGGUCAGAACGACCUCUAACUCAUCUCUGCCUUCAAUUUCAAAAACCUCCUGUAUAGCAGGGUCAAUAACAUUUACCGAGAAAACAGAGCCAACAUUUGAAUCGGAUGGAUAUUUCAUGGUCUCAAAGAUGUUAAAGUGAACAAUCUCACCAUCAAAUUCCAUAGACAAAAUACCCUUAUUAACAUCAAUUUUGGUUCGGGCUGUGCUCAAAAAGGGUCUACCUAACAAUAGAGGUGACGGACCACGGGAGUGUUCAUCCUCCAUGUCGAGCACAUAAAAAUCAGCUGGAAAAACCAAUUCAUUAAUUUUUACCAAAACAUCUUCAAUCAACCCGUCAGGGUAUGCAUUGGUCCUGUCAGCUAAUUGGAUUAUUAUCCCAAUUUCUUUCAAAGGGCCUAAGUUCAAAGAAGCAUAAAUAGAUUUCGGCAUGACAUUAAUCGAUGCUCCUAGAUCUAACAUGGCCUUUCCAAUCAAAAUAUUACCUAUCCUACAAGGAAUAGUAAACAUACCUGGAUCUCCGCAUUUCGGUGGAAGCUUUCUUUGUAGAAUUGCUGAAACAUUCUCCCCAACUAUAACUCGUUCAUCUCCCUUCAAUCGCUUGCGGUUGGCACACAGGUCCCUCAAAAAUUUUGCGUACCUGGGUACUUGUUUAAUCGCAUCCAGCAGGGGUAUGUUGAUCUCCACCUUGCGAAAGAUCUCCAAGAUCUCUUUUUCCUUGUCUUGCUUCUUUGGUUUCUCUAACCUGCUAGGAAAGGGAGGUGGAUUAGUUUUAGCUGUAGGAAUUGGGUUCGAGGGUACCUUUGCAUUUUUGUUGUCUCUGCCCUCCUCUUCCAAAUCUUUCUCAAUCCGUUCCUCGUCCUUGUCUUUAGGAAUCACCGGUUCGGGUCCUUGAACUUCCUUGCCACUCCUCAAGGUCAUUGCGCUUACAUUCUUUGGAUUUGCCUCAGGUUGAGAUGGCAACUUUCCUUGAACUUGGGACUCCAAACGAUUGAUUGUUAUAGCCAUUUGAUUCAUUUGAUUUUGCAAUGAUUGCACCUGUCCCAAUUGAUUUCUCAUGCUUUGCAAGUCUGAAUCCGUCUUUUGUUGAUUAGCAAGUAAUUGCUUCAUCAUCUCUUCCAUGGACGGACUUGAAUUUGAAGGGGGUGGUGGUGGUGGGCGAGGAUGGUACUGCUGUUGGUGUCCUUGCUGUCUAUUUGGCACAAAGUUAGACUGCCUAUUUCCUCCAUAGCUAAGGUUGGGGUGAUCCCUCCAACCAGGAUUGUAGGUGUUUGAGUAUGGAUCAUACGGCUUUCUUGGCGUGGGCGCGUGGCCAGCCAUGUUCACCUGUUCUGCAGUUUCUUCUUGAACCAGUGGACACAUUUCCGUAGGAUGACCUACGGCAGUGCACACCCCACACACUUUGGCUUGCGAGGCACUUCCCACAGCUAAUUGUCUGACGAAAGAUGUUAAUUCGGAGAUCUGCUGUUGGAUAGAGGACGUUUCUACCUUAUUCACCCUACGCGUCGGGAUGUCCUCUCUUGAACCAAACUGCUGUGAGUUCUCAGCCAUUCCUUCAAUCAGCUCCCAUGCUCCUCGAGGAGUUUUGUUCACCAACGCCCCUCCACUUGCAGCAUCGAUUAUGCUUCUGUCCCUGAAAAGCAACCCUUCAUAGAAAUAUUGAAUGAGCAGUUGCUCACUUAUCUGAUGCUGAGGGCAUUUGGUGCAUAGUUUCUUAAACCUCUCCCAGUACUCAUAGAGUGACUCGCCUGGGUGUUGUUUGAUGCCACAUAUCUCCUUCCUUAGACUUGCAGCUCGAGAUGCCGGAAAGUAUUUGUCCAGAAAUUUUUUCUUCAAUUGAUCCCACGUGGUGAUACUACCAGGCGGUAGGUAGUAGAGCCAGUCUUUUGCGGAGUCCUUCAAAGAGAAGGGGAAAGCCCUCAUCUUUAUUUGCUCUUCUGUAAUUCCCGGAGGCUUCAUACUGUUGCAAACGACGUCAAACUCUUGCAAGUGCUUGUAGGGCUCCUCACCUGGUAGACCAUGGAAAGAUGGCAAGAGAUGAAUUAAACCAGAUUUUAGUUCAAAGGGAGUGUCAUCAUUUAAAUUUGGAAAAGUAAUGCACAAGGGCUGCUGAUUUAAAUCAGGAGCAGCCAACUCCCUUAAUGUUCGUGUAUUUGCCAUAGUGACUUCCUCUUGGUCUGAAUCACUCGAAUUGUCACCAGACAAAUUUAUCGGCUCAACCUCUGGAUCUAGUCCCUGAGGUGCAAUACCGUAUUGCUCUUCUCUGAGCCGCCUGGUUUCUUUCCUCGUUCUACGCGCGGUCUUCUCUACUUCAGGGUCGAAAACUAAUUCGCCUGUACGAGAAGAGCGAGGCAUAAACUAGAAAAAAAUACCAGAAAAUUAGAACAAAAAUGAACUUAAAAAGAAACAAAUAAUUAACGCCAAUCCCCGACAACGGCGCCAAAAAUUGACAGGUGUCGAGCCUGUGCAAUAAUAAAUAUCUACUCGAGAAAAAUGAAUUUUCUGUGUAUAGUAGUGAGUAGGGUCGAAUCCACAGGGAUUGGAAAAAAUUCGAUUCUUUUCAAGUUCGGGACACGGGGGAUUUUUAUCAGAUAAAACUAAAAAUAAAUAAUUAAACAAUUUAACUAAAAAUAAUUAAACAAUUUAACCAAAGAUAAAUAAUUAAUUAAUACAAUUGUAAAUAGCAAUUAAAUAAAUGAUAAAUAAAUUCUAGCCAAGGAUACAACUACGCAGACACAGUCCAUUCAUCCGAUCAUUGAUGCAAAGAAGGUUCACUUAAUUUAAUUAAUAGGCUAGUUAUAGUCGCCGAUAAACUCUAACGACCAGUUUUUCCUUAAUUUAUUGAUAACCAAGGUACGACCAUUGAUUACCCCUAACCAGGAAAUACUCCUAGGUACGACCGUAGGAAUUAAUUUCCUAAUUGCAUUAAAAACUAGAAAAGCCUAAUCCAAAUUAAUAACACGCUACGAGGGUUAUUUAAAUCAGAUUGCAUGUUCUCCUAGUAUGUGAAAAUACUAGUUGUCACUAAUAUUAACCAACUAAACAAUUAAGGAUUUAAUUGAUUAAUUUGACAAGAGAUUAAUAAGUCAAAUUGCACAUCGGUCCCUUGAUAUCCAAUUAACAAAAUAAUCCCAUGGAAAUUAAAAUAGAAAACAUGCAAAUAUUAACAAAUUAAGGAACACGUAAAAUUAAUUAGAUCUCACAGAUAUUUGGGACUGCGUCUUCGCGUUGAUCCUUGACUAGAGGAGAAAAUUAGCCACGCCUCAUAAGAAAAUUCCCACGCAAUUUAAUUGAACUCAAAGACAUUUAUCUCUUACUAAUAAUUAAAAAUAAGAAUUGUAUUCUCUGUAGUCUAAUACAAUAAAAAUAGUCUCAUGGAAGAGACGGAAGAAAACAAGACACACGAGAAAUCUUCACCCCCAAAACUAAAAACUUCUCUUCCCAGACAGAAGAGAAGAAGAAAAACUGAUUCUGUAAAAUGUCCGGCCCUCUCUCAUUCUCCUCUGCACUAGUUUUAUAUGAGAACUAGUUACGUAGGAAGCAAAUAGAAAAGCUACUUUCAUCAUCAAAGUCCACCUAUGGCUAAUGAGUACAUCUCCCAAAAGAAGAACACAUUUUCUAAAUCAAUGUUACGUGGUCCCUGCAGAAUUCUCUCCUUUUGACUUCUUAUUGCUAGUGGACUUGUCAGGACUUAAUAAUAGGAAGGCAACUCUUCAUCAGCAAUUCCGUUGGUUUGCACAAUUUGGGCUGAUUGUGGAAAGCUUUUAGAAGCUUUCACGUGUGGAGAGAUCUUCUCAAGAAGGUUCCCUUUUAGCACUUUUCUGCUCCACUUUCUGAAAUUAUAUCCAAAUACCAAAUAUAAAUAUAUAUUGACAAUUAAAGCAAUAUUUGGCAAGGAUAAAGAGGAGAAUUAACAAUAAAAUUACUAACAAUUAACAUCCUAUCAGUAAUGUAUCAGUAAACUGGCAUUUUACUGUAUCAGUAAUCUUCCAUGUUUUAAUGCUUCUUUUGAAAUGCAAUGUAAGGUUAUUCCCUGUUUUCUCCAGUAUUAUCUUCUUGAAGAAUUUAUCGGUCUUUGCUACAACUAUUUCUGCAGCAAUGGAUAAGUUUUAGUUGCUUUCAAUUACUUUGUGAAAUUACGUCAGAAGCCACGGGUGAUGAAUCCAAAAAGAUAUAGCAUCAACUUACAAGGUUUCAACCUGCAAGUUAUUAGGUUUUCUGAAAAUAUAGAGAAUACCUCGCUUUUAUAGUUUGUGAUUUUACUAUCCAGUGCAGCAGCCAGGUACAUUAUCAUCAUCGUUGCCAAAUUCAUGUAAUGCAAUGGAUUUGAAGUCUUUGCAUUGUCUUGAAGUUUAAUGGACUUUUGGAUUAUCAACCUUAAUCUAUAUAGCUCAGUGAUAUUUUUCCCUCUGUCAACUGCCAUGCAUAUUCAUACUGAUAUACAAAAAAAAAAAAAAAAAAAGAGGAUUUGCAUGCAAUGUUGCAUAAAAGAAGAAUGCACCAAAAUUCAAUCACUCCCUUAAUCCACAUAUUUGACAAGGCAUAUUACCUUUAGUCACCUACGUGCAUCGCGCGUUUUAUACCUCCUAGUCUUCUCUUAAGAUGUGAAACCCAAGAUUCUGAUAUAAGAUUGGGCAUCAUAAAGAAAAUGACCACCAUCUUCAUCUCUCUAUCUCACAGUUUCACAUGCACACUGCAAGCUGCCCAACCUUGAAAAUCUUGAUUUUAUAUGAGACAGACUGUGAUUCUCAAGAUUCAAAGAUACCUGCUCAAGAUGCAACUUUGGCAACCAAAAGGGAAUUCAGAUCUGAACUAAAGUGGUAGGAAAUCCAUUUAUCAAGGUAUUUUUUUUUAUUUGCUCAUUUCCUCCACCUCCAUAAACUUUCAGCAGGUUUUCACUGAUAGAUUAGAUGAACAAUCUAGAAGCAUGAAUUGUUUCAAAGAAAAAGUUCGGAAAGAUUCUAUCAAAGAUACACAACAGGAGUAGUCAUUCAAACCAUAUGAAGUGGGUGAGCUUCAAGAAAUGAAGAAAACAUUCUAACCACAACUUUUGAAAAUUUUUUACUUUGGCUUAUUUAUGCACAUCAAAAUGUCAGAACAAGAUGGCUAAUGGUCAAGUCUAAAGCACAAGAAGGGUACAAAGUUUUCAACAAUCUACAAAAACAUUGCGUAACAAAAUCUGCCCAAAAGCUGAGAUAAGCGGGAACAAGCUCAUCUAUUAAACAUAGAAGACAAAACUUAAGCUAAGAUCCAAUCGCAAAAUUUGAGGUCAUUGGGACCUCAAGAUGACGGACAAGCAUGUCGCUCUCUCAUGUUGAAUUU
rnacentral:lncRNA from 1 species